AAAAAAAAAAAAAGGUUUUAGCUUGAUAAAAAAAACAUUCACUUUUCUUUCAAACUUCUUUCAGAAAUCUCAUUAUUUUAGUAGUUAAUUUCAUAAAUAUACGCUAAUUUUCAAUAAUACCAAAUUUGCUACAUUUUAGUGCAUUUAGAUACAUUCAAAUAUAUACAUUUCGGAAUACAUGAGUCUCGACCCUAAAGGGUAAAAAAUAUUGACAAAAAUUUUAAAAGGGUAAAUGAAAAACUUUUAAGCCAAAACGGUAAAAUCGCUGGUGAUGUAGCGAUUUAGGUGGUGCUGUUAAGGCAAAUCGCUGCAAAAUAUUUUUUUUAACAAAUCGUCGCUGCCAAGACAGUGAUUUGAUAAAUAAUUUUUUUAAAAAUUAUAAAUCACUGCCUGUGCAACGAUUUUACUUAAAAAAAUUUAUCAUUAUUUUUUGAAGUAAAUCGCUGCCUUGGCAGCGAUUUUACUUUAUUUUUUAAAAUUUUGAAGUGGCAGUGAUUUCACUUAAUUUUAUUUUUAAAAAAAUUAACACGUCAAAUUUGUACAAAAAAAAUUCACAGCAUGUUAAUAUUUAUGUCUGGAUGUGAAAUUUGAAUUUGAAAGUUUGACAAUGUGAAUUUUUUUUGGCUAAUUAUAAUUUAUUUAAAAAAAAAUAAAAAAAUAAAAUAGGUGAAGUAGCGAUUUACAAUUUUUUUUUAAAAAAAAUCAUUUACAAAUCGCUGUCAAGAUUUGUUAAAAAAAUUUAAAAAUAAAUAAAUUUUACAAAUCGCUGCUACUAAAGCGGUUUUCCUUAACGCCACCCACCUAAAUUCCUACAUUACCAGCGAUUUUAUCGUUUUGAUUUUUUAAAAAAAUUCAUAUACCCUUUUGGAAUUUUUGUCAAUAUUUUUACCUAUCAAGCUUGGGACUCCGGAAUACGUGCGAUCAAAAUUAAAUCAGGUGUAGUUUGUUUUAUAUACAUUGUAUCAUAGUGUAUUUGCAAGUAUGUGGGAUACAUAAACAAAUCUCACUCGUCUCCCUCACAUCUCGCUCAUCUCCCUCAUAUCUCGCUCGUAUACAUGCAAAUCACAACAUAUACAUAUAUUUAAUGUGAUUCUCAUAUUUCUAACUUGACAUCUGGUAUGAAAUUAUUAAAUAAUAAGAUAAAUAUAAUUAUUUUCAACUAUGGGGAGAAUUAGUAAAUAUUAUAAGAAUUUUUAUGUUAUUAGAGUUUUUUAUUUUAAUUUAUAGUAUUACUUUUAACGAGUAAAUAUAUAAAUAUUAUUUUGAAAAUUCAAAAGAUUCUAUAUCCAAAUGUAUAGUAAACUUUAAGAAGUUUGAAAUAUCAAAAGUGAACAAUAUUAGUAAAUUGGAACAUGAUGGACAACCCUGUAAAACUCAAACCACUUUGUUAGUUCUCCAAGUCUACAUAACUAGGUUUUUAGUUCUUUCUUGGGUAAAUUAUGCAAAGUGGCAUUCUCCUUCUUAGUCUUCUCCUAUUUUAUUUUAUUUUAAAAUUGUUAUACUGGAAACGCGAAUUGUUUCGAAUGAAUUAUAUACGAAAAGGCUUAAAACAUUAAGAGAAUUUCAUAUAUAAAUUUUAAAAUUGUUUAGAAGUGAUUUUGAGCAAAUUAUCUUCUUAUGCUUCGUCAUGCCUUUUUGUCUUCUUUCGGCUUCACCUAUUUUUUUUCGUUAUAGAAUCGACGUACCGAAAACGUGAACUCUUUUGAAUGCUCAAAAGACUUGAAAUAUCUAGAGGAUUUUAUAUUUAAAUUUUUAGACAGUUUAGUGGUGAUUCUGAACUGAUCAAGAUUGUAUAGUUAGUGUAUACUUCAUGUAUACUUGUGCAUACUUCAUGUAUAAUAGUGUAUAUUUCACGUAUAUUUAAUUAAGACAUAUUCAACUCUUUCAGUUUAUCAUAUGUAUUUUAAAUUCAGAAAUUGAUUAACAUGAUGAUGAUGAAUAGGAGGAAGUGGAAGAGGCAAAGUUAAGAGGAGAAAAACAGCUUGAUAAGUGUUUUUUUUUUUUUUUAAAUGACUACCAAAAUGCUUAAAAAUUGAUCUAAAAAGAAGAUUCUUGAAACAAAUUAAAGAAUAAAAUAGUGGGAAAAGAACAUAUCAAAAGUAUUUGCAUCAAAGAUAUGUCAAAACUCAAAAGUAUAGCAACAUAUCGUUAUGAUAUCAAAAAAGAAUAAUGCGUAUAUAUACAUUUUAUAUUGGGAAAAUUGUAUAUAAUAGCAAACUAAUAACCUAAAUUAAAUGGAAUAGCUAGGGUUUGAUUUAAUUGUGCUUCAUAGAAAACAUUAGCUAAAAUUUGCCAGCGUCUCUCUCCCAAAAAUCUCGCUCGCCACUCUCCAUUCUCGCUCGCCUCUCUCGCUUUAUACACAGAAGUGUAUAAUUCUGUUUCUGUUUUGUAUAAAGAGAGAGAAAAUUGUAUAUACACAUGCAAAAAUGUAUAUCUUCGUGUUAGACACUUAAUUAUACAAUUUACAAACAUUUUACUUCAAAUAUUGCAGAGAAAAAGGCCAGCGAAUUAUACAAUUGCAGUGAAAUACAAUUUUCUCUAGCUUUAUACAACAGAAGUGUAUAUAAUGUGUUUCUGUUUUUGUAUAAAGCGAGAAAAACAUAUAUCUUCUUGCUAUACACUUAUAAUUAUGCAAUAUACAUAUAUUUUAAUUCGAUUCAACCAUAUGCAAAGCAAAUUAUACAAUUGCAGUGAAAUAGGCCAGCGAAUUAUACAUUUUAGGCCAGCGAAUUAUACAAUUGUAUAUGUAUAGCGAAUUAUACAGUUUUAUGUUUGCUAUGGAGUGCAAUUAUGCAAACUUUGUUAUAGCAUACAAAUAUUUUUUAAUUGAAAUAAACUAAUAAAAUAUUUUUUAUGAAAUAAACUAAUAAAAUAUUUUUUUAAUUGAAGCUCAAAUUUUCCAUUCUAUUGUAGGUAAACAGCUUCUUUUUUUAUAAUAUAGUAACUAAGAUUUUUUUAAAAAAAGAAAAUGAGAUAUAUAUUUUAAUUUUGAUGUUAUUAUUUUUAUUCGAAUAAUAGAGUCAAUCAUAAAACAUGAUAGUAAUUCCAACAGCAUCUAACACAACCAUAUGGACAAUCACAAGUACAUUAAUUAUAUUCUUGAAAUAUUAUUCCUAGCUAAUCCUUCAAGAACACUCAAUUAAAAAUUAUCCAACCAAUAUAACCAAUUAUUUCUUUAAAAAAAAUCAAUUCAAUUCUAAAAUUAGGUCAAAUAUGAGUAAUUUCAAAUUUAUUCGAGCAUAUUUUAAUUCACAUUAGGCAAAAAAAAAGAAAAUUAGAGCGGAAAUAACCGCCUUAAAUUGGCAUGUUGUGUAUUGCCAGAUCAGUAUAAGAAAAAGUUUAAAUUACAUGAGAAUUUACCUGAGAAUUGGUACGAAGAUUUGCACAAAAUUUUUAUUGAAAAUAAUGACCUAAAAAUAAUUUCAUCAAAAAUAAGAAAUCCUUUGAGGUUUCUUAUUUUAAAAUUUUCAUUAAUCGAUUUAGACUAAAAAGACAAAUAAUGACCCAAGGGGGAAAUUGUAGGAGACCAUUUAACAAGUGUACAUAAAAAAGAAUUAUAACCUAAAAUUGCUAUAGUGAAGAGUUGAGGAAAUUUUUUUAAUUGUUGUUUGCGUUUUUUAUUAACAAAAAGUUUUUCACGUAAAAAUCUGUGUUAUUUUACUUUUUAACACUUAUCUUCUUACAUAAUUAAUAAAAGAAUACUUUAUUCUCUCAAUGAAGAAAUGUUAUACUUUGUAGGUUUAAUUUGUUCCUUAGCAUAAAGUCUAAGAAAAUAAAUACUUACACUAAAAAUAUUCUAAAUAUAUUACUAAUUAUAUUCGUAAUUAACUAAAUGACCAAUCCUUCAUUCAUAACAAAAACAUGAUAUGCAUGUAUAUAAAUAGUGGCCCAUGUUUCAAUUCUUAGAGCUAAUAAUGUCUAUAUAAAGGCUAUAAAUUCUGAAUAUUUUUUCACCAUCAAACAUUAAUUCUUCUUACAAUUCAUUGAUAUAUCAAAAAAGAAAUAUGGGUUUCAAAGGCAAGUUGAUUGCUUCGAUGGAGAUUAAGUGUGGAGGACACUUGUUUCAUGAUUUUUAUCAGAUUAACGCUCAUCAUGUAUCUAACAUAAGUCCUGAUAAAGUCCACCAUUUUAAUAUUCACGAAGGUGAUCAAGAUCUAAAAGUUGGUUCAAUAAUUGGCUGGAAAUAUAAUCAUGGUAAAAUUUCCAACACUAAUUUUUUCAAUUAUUUAAGAUUUUUUUUUUUUUGGUUUAAGGGGAAUCUUGGAGCAAAAAUAAAUUUGUUUUAUCUGAUUUAUAGAUUAUGGAUUUAAUCCUUAGAAGCAACCACUACUAUUAGUAGACAAACUGUCUACAUAACACUCCUUGGCCAAGCUUUUAGGAAAUAAAAAAUGCUUCUUCUUUUCUUUUCAAAAAAGAAAAUAUUUUAGAAUAACGAGAAUUAAGAUAACAGGUUCGUCAGUAACUUUAAGUGUAGAUUUACUUUCUCGUGGGAGAGGCAGCUUUUAGUAAAAAAAAAUGAUCUUUUCUUUUCAAAAAGUAAUUAUUCUUUUAGAAUAUUAAAUAUAAUUAGGAUACAAAGUUAAUCUGUAAUUUUAAGUAUUGAUUUAAUUGGAUAAAAAAAAAACUAAUAUAUGUCAGAAGUGGGAUUUGAACCCACGCCCUCUUACGAAGACCAGAACUUGAGUCUGGCGCCUUAAACCACUCGGCCAUCCUGACUUGAUAUUGAAAUUUCACUCAAAAUAAAUUUUUAUUUGUUAAUUCAGACGAUAAGUAGGAUCUUAUCAUUCUUUUUAAGCUGAUUAAAAAAGCACAAUUAUUUUUAAAAAAAUACUUUUCUAAAAUACUACUGAAAUAAAUGCACUUUUCAUGUUAAACAAUUUUUAAAAUUUGGGCAAUUAGUGAUAUGGUUUAUCCUUGAAUACUUCUGACAAAAUUAUUUUUUUUAAAAAAAAUAAGCAAAUUUUAAAAAAUUGAUCAAAUUAUUUUAGUUAUAUAAUUCAAGUAACACAUGAUUAUUUAUCAUCCUAAUAUUAACAGAUCCGUUGAGAUUUUUAAAGAUAAGACGAUUCUGACAAAAAGUUGAGCAAUUUGAGAUAAUUUGGAAAAGGGAAAAGUUAUCUUGUUCUUUUAAAAAGAAUUAAUUUGAAUUAUCAAAUAAUAUCAUAUAAAUUGAUAUUUCUUUUUUUAAAUGAUUACAGAUGGAAAAGUUAAGGUUACUAAGCAAUUGAUUGAAGCCGUCGACGAUGAGAAGAAAUUAAUUACUUGGAAAGUGUUAGAGGGAGAUACGUUGGAAUUGUAUAAUUCCUUCGCUAUUACUGCCUCCUUUGAAGAGAAUUGGGCAACAUGGACACUAGUAUACGAGAAGAAAACUGAAGACACACCAGAACCUAUUACUCUCUUGAGUCUUAUGAUCGACAUCACUAGAGAUUUGGAAAGUCAUCUCCACAAUAACUAAAAGAUCAUUAACAUUUGAAAAUCUCAUCUGAAAUAUCUAUCUGUGUGAUGAUUAAUAAAAAAUUAUUGAUUUGUCUAAUAUGCGAAAUAAAUAGUGUUGUAUGGAGGUAUUGUAUCAAUGUGUGUUUGUACUCAUUCCAGUUUUUAUUAUGAAUAUAAAUAUAAUAGAUUGUAAUUAGCUAAUGUCUUCUUGUAACAUUAGUAGACAUGAACUCGGACUCAAGUGCCUUCAAGCAUGAUCUUAAAUUUUAAUGUACUUAAUUUUGGUUUGUAUUUGAAUUCAAGGGUUUUUUAGCUUAUGCAUGAAUAUGGUGAUCUUGAUCUUGGAUGCUUGAAUUCUUGAACCUGUAGAGAAAUUUGUUAAUCUAGAUUUAUGAGCUUUCUCUAGCUUCUUGUUUAAAAUUUUAGUAUUUUUCUUUGAAUUAUGACGAUUUUUAUUUAUAGUCGUAGGAUGAUAGAGUUAUCAUGAGAACAUUGCAUCGGUUUGGUCAAUCAAAUUUAAAUAUCUGAUACAUAACUUAUGUACCGUUUGUUAUGUAUAGGGUGAAGCAGUAAUGUAUCCGCAGAUUCUUUUUUUUUUUUUUUAAAGAUUUCCUCAAGGGGCUUCAAUAGAUAUCAAAGUAGCAAUAUAGAGAGGAGUGAAACCUAACCCCUCUAAGUUAUCAAAAUAAAAGGAAAAAUUGUUCCUCGUCACAUAAGCUUAUAAAAAAUUUUUAGAAUUUUUAAACUAGAAGCAACCAUGUAUCCGUGGGUUCUAAAAAUAAAAAAUUAUGGUAAUUUGGAAAACUUUCAGGAUAGAACAUAAUAACCCAAAUUGCUGAGAUUUCUAUACUUUAUACUUAAUUAAAUUCAUAUUUAUUAGGCUUAAAUAAUUAAUCUGUAAUAUUUAUUUAAACUAAUAUAUCUUGAAUUAAUCGGUCCCAUUAUUUAUUGUUUUUAGCUUUUUUCCAUGCUAAUUAAUAAAAAUUUAAAUAUUAAAGGUAUAAUUCAGUGAAUUUUUCCUAUUUAAUAAAGCUAGAAUCAUUUUUUUUUCUCUUAAAAAAUUUAUGCGUACAUUUUUAAUUUUUAAAAGUCUGGUUGAAAAUGAGUAAUCUUUAAUGAUUAUGAAUGAAGAUAUCAAAUUUUAGCUCAAAUUGCCUUUUGGAAUUAUUUGGAAAAUAUGUGAUAUAUAUUUACUUGAUAUAUUAUUCAUAUAUAUUUUUGAAAAUAAUUCUCACUUUCUAAUAAAUAUCUCCUAUUUCCCUUUUUUAAUUUCAUUUAUCUUUCUCCUCCCUCUUCACUGAUUCUUAGAGAUAGGAUUUUGAAACGAAAGGAGUAUAAAAUUUGAAAAUAAAAGAUAUAUGUGAGGAAGAACAAUGUACUUAUUUUUCAAAAUAAAUAGAAUUUAAGUUGAGAGUAUAAAAUAUCUAUGUAUUUAAUAUUCCUAUUAUUCACUUCUGUCCACUUUUAACUGUCAUAUUACAUUUUUAAAAAUCAAUCUAACUAAUUUUCAAAAUUAAAUUAGAUUACAUUAAUUUAAUAUUAUAAAUAAAAAAAAUUAAAAACUGUAUAAAAAAUACUAUAAUUUCAAUUUUUACAUAUUAAUCUGAUGAAAUAUAUCGUGAAAUAAUAGUAAAAUUAUUAUUGUUUGAUUCCAAAAUAAAUAUGAUAAUAAAAAUAGACGGAGGUAGUAUUUCUUCUAACAUUAUUUUCUCAUGAAAAUUGUGCAUAUAUGGGUCCCACUAAUUUAUUAAUGAAAAACCUACGCAUAUUCAUAUAAAAUAUAUGGGGAAAGAAAUCUCCUCCAAUAAAACAUAAUCCGAUAUUUUUAUUUGAUUCGAUAAUUGAUUUAUGCCACGUGUCCAUUAAAGCCGCGUAUAUUUAAGGAUUGUCGAUUGACAUUAUUUUAUCGAAAAUUACAUUAAAUAAUUAGAUAAAAUUAUUUCAUAUAUGUAUACAUAUUGAUCAUUUUUAACUUUUUACGCAAUUUUAUUUUUUUAUUUUUGAAUUGAAAUUUAAGCUCCGUUUUUCUACCAUAUUAUUCAUGCCAUGUGUCUGACAUUUUAUUUAUAAUUAAUUGAAUAGAGAAAAAUCACGUUAAGUUUUCCCGCAAGAAAAUGUGAUAACACAAUAAUUUAUAAUUCAUUAAUAAAUAUCGUAUUCAAUCAAACAUCGUUAAAUAAAUUGAGACGUAGACACAAUUAUCUAUGUCCCUAUGAGUGGUCCAAUUGGAAUAAUGGGUAUUUUGCUAAGGAAUGUACAAUGAGUUGUCCAAGCCAAGGUACAUGAUCAAAGAAUCUACAUGCAAAUUUUAAAAAGAGAUAUUAAUUUAUUUUUUUUUAAAAAAAACGAUCAUUAUAUAAAAUGUUAUUGAAAUUUUAGUUUUUUAGAUGUGAACAUUAAUUAAUGAUUCGUUAUAAGAAUUUCAUUUUGAAGAAAGAUUAUUGUCAUAUUUAUAGGUUAUAAAUUAAGAAUAUUAAUAAUACAUUUUUAAUUAAAAAAUAUAAUAUAAAUUUAGAAUAAUAAUUUUUGUUCAAAAUUUUGAUAAGUUGAUACAAUAAUAUCAAAAUAAUUAUAUAAUGACGACUUGUUGCAAUGCUUAAAAUCUUAAAGAAAACACCAGAAAAAAAAAUUGAUCUUUUAUAAAUAGAUAACAUUAGAUUUUUCAAUAUUCAGAAAGUUUAGCCAUUUGACAGAUUUCAAAACAUUUAAUAAAUAUAAGAGAAUAAGAAUAGUGAUAGAGAAAAUGAAUAAAAUAAAUAUAUACCAUCAAUAAUAACAGAUGCACAUAUAGAAAAAAGAACACCACAAUUAUUUAAAAGUAUAUUAUUUCUCAAUUCUUGUAUUAAAAAGUAAAACAUUAUUGUACUCUCUCCAAUGAUUUUUCUUCAAAUUUAACAAUAUAUAGGAUUUUUCUUUACAUUCAUACAUGUGUACCUUCCUCAAAUUCAAAAUUAUAUAUAUAAUGAUGCUCCCAAAAAAAGUUAGGGCACCAAUUUUUUUCUUUUUGGUUUUCCACCUGGUUUAAGGAGGUUAUAUUAGAGUUCCGACUAAAUAUGAACCACGCAUUGCAGGGUUCAUUUAAGGGUGUUCGAGCCAAUAUUAGAGCUCCGAUUAAAUUGGAAUCGCGCACUGCAGAGCUCACUUGGGGGUGGCGCUCCCAACAUAACUUUCUUCAUAUCCAAAACUCGAAUCCGAAACAUCUGAUUAAGAGUGAAGAAUUCCAACCAGCUCACCACAACUCGGCCCCAUUCUUUUUAGUUUGCUUUAGUUGUUUUACACUUCAAUUGUCCAAGGAAUGACCAUAAAUUCUUAGAAGGAAUCCAAUGAGUUGUCCAAAUCUCCAAUAUUUACUAUCUAUGACUAAGUAGGUGUUCAUUUAGAUUUUAAAUGUUUUUUAUUUUAUUAUAAUUUGAAUUAAAGAUCAAAUUGCAUUUUAUUUAAAUUUAAUUUUAAAGAAUAUUUAAAAUAAUAUUUAUAUUUAAAUAUAACUAAAUCAAAAGCGAGUUCGAAAAUAGGUUGAGUUGCUUUUCAAGAUACAACUUUUAAUCAAAAUUUUAAAAUUUUUAUAACCAAAUAUUAAUUUACUGAUAAAGUAAAAAAAGAAAAAGUGAACUCUAAUUGAUUUUAGAUUGUAGGGUAUAUAUUUACUUACUACAAUGUUUAUGGUUUUCUUCAUAUUCAUAGGCCACAUACAAUGCACACCUUUUGAAAUGAAGGUAAUUGUCUACACCUAACUUCUGAAUUAUUUUGCUAUUUAAUUAAUAAUGUGUCUGUUUUAAUUUAAGUGAUAUUUUUUAUUUUUAAUUAAUCAAAAGAUCAAUAUGUUUUUAUGUUAUGUGUUUUUUUCUUUCAUAUUUUUGCUUAACUUCUUUUAAUCAAAAAUAUUUUUUUCUUUCUUUUACUCCUUUAUUCUGACAAAUCCUCCAAAAAAUUAAUUUUCUUUCAAUCUAAUCUUAUCAUUUAAGUAAUUAUGCAAUGCAAUAGUAGUCAAAUUCAAAGUUUCAAAUCAUACUUAAUAGAGAUAAUUUGGUAAAGAAAGUUUUUUAAAGGGAGUGUUAUAAGUCAAACAUGAAUCAAGUAAAAUAAAAUAAAGAGAUUUGGUUUCACCUUAAAUUCCAAUGUUAUCUUUGAUUAGAUGAUUUAAAGUCAUAAGCCAUCAGAAAAAGAGUUAAAAUAUUUUGAUUUUUGAUUGAAAUUUUUAUCACGAUACCAAACUUUAUAAAGGACAUUUUAGCCUUGCGCAAUUUAAUAGUAUAUUUUAAAGGUAUAUAUGUGUCUAAGUGGACACAUUAUAAUAUUUAUUGAUGCAAUAUUUAUGGUUUCCACGUAGGCACAUAUAUACCUUUAAAAUACAUUUUAAAUAAUGUAGGGAGAUAAAAUGUCAUCCAUUAAGUUUUGUAUCAUAACAAUAAUUUCGAUCAAAGUUAAAAUAUUUUUACAAACCUUUUCCUCUAAAUUUUUUGUUUCAUUUCAAACUCUAUGCUCAGUCAAACACCAUCACAUAAGGUGAGAUUCAGAAAGUACUAACCCUAUGUUUAGAAUUAUAUAUUGAAAACAAAAAAAAAUGUUGGAUUAAUUAAAUUUUAAGCUCAAUUAGAAAAGUGUGUUUCUUAAAAAAAUUUGAUCCCCUCAUAACUAUUGAAGGUUUUGAAUUAAUAUAUCUCUAGAUAGAAUGGAACACUAAUUUUGGUGCAAAUAAUGUUUCAAUAAACCUACACACUAUAAUAAAAAUAACUUUUAGCGACAUUAAAUAGUGAUACUAAUAGAGUUCUGACAUCUUUAUCGGCAUUAGUUAAGUGUUAUUAGAACCAAUGUCACUAAAGGUUUUAGGGACAUAUAAAAAGAGUAAUAAUUGUCGCUAAAAAUACGUAUUUAGCAACAAUUAAGAAUUAAAUGCCGCUAACGUCAUUUUUGUUGUAGUGACAAAAAGUAGCUAAUCACAUUGAUACUUUAUAAACAAUGAAAGAGUGUGACACUUCCUCAAAUGAUACUUUUUUUGGUGCAUAUAAAAAGGAAUUUUUUUUCUUUAAUUCUCAUUUACACCUUAAAAUUUUAAGUAUCCCCUCAUAAAUGAGGAAGAACCAUGCUUAAACACACGCAUAACAAAAUAAGUUAAUAGCAAGUACAAAUUAGUUGCAUACAAAUUAGUAGGUUCUUUUUAUAUUUUUUUAUAAUGAACAUAAAUAAGAUACACUCAAUCAAUCGAAAGAUUUAAUAUUUUGAAUCGUUGAGCUUUUAUGUGUUGGGAAUAAAUUCGUAAUAGAAAUAAUAUUUGCGGUAAUAAAAGCAAUAAAAGCAAAACACAACAAUAUAGUUAAUCAACGAGAAUAAAAGAGAAAUAAUGACAUCAAGGUUUUACGUAGAAACCAUCCUAAAUAAGGGAAAAUCACAACCUGAGCAAUUGAUAUCACUAUUUUUACACUUGUAGGUCUGAGUAAACUGCAAAGAUCACUACACACUCAAAAGAAAUAACCCUUUUUUUAUUUUUCCACUUCUCUACUAUAUCGCUCACUCUCUAUUUUUCUUACAGACUAUUUUCCUUUGUGAUGCCUCACUCUUCUUUUCUCUCCUUUGUAUUUUUUUUGCGUACAUUGAGAAUGAAGAAUUGUCAUCUCUUUUACAGAAAACAAAUGUGCUACGGAAGAAAAAUAUUUUUUCUUUUUCACAACUUACGAACAUUUGAAUAAUAAGAAAAACUGAAAAUAAAUCAGCACACUAAAUCUGUCAAACUUUAAAAUUGAAGGAGAGUUAUUCAAAGUUUGGUACAUGAAGAUAGACCCCACAUUAUGUACAUCUAAACAACAUAAGUCACAAAAUUAACACUCAAUCAUCUCUGUUUCUCAUUUGGUAUUCUUUUUAACUAUAAUCACAGUUCUCAUGGUAUAAAAAUGAUCUUUUAUAAAUUCUUAAAGUAAACAUGACAAUAUUAUAAAAUAUUCAAAAUCCAUUAUUUCAAAUUGAUAUAAAUAUUCCUGCUGGUUUGAUGUUAUUAUUUGUAAUGAAAUUAGAGGAGAACUUCUUUAUUUGGAUCUUGAUUUUUCUCAAAUUGAUCUUCACAUAUUUUGAUUGAGUCUUCUAUUUUUAAUUUGUUUGCUAAGAUUUCUUUUUAGAAAUCAGAUUUUAUAGAAAAGUACAAUAGUGAGAGUAAUUAAUCAAUGUAAGAAGUAACUACAAUGAACAUUUAUUACUUAUCAAUUUUUCUAGGUUGGAAAAAUAUCUGUUUUUAAGACUAAUAAACUAUUAAGGGUAUAAUAAAAAGAAUAUUGUAAUUUAUGCAUUGAAUUAAUAAAAUGUCUAGCAUUAUGGACAAACUAUUUAAUAUAAGGAUGACAUAUAAAAAAAUAAAGAGAGUACUCUCUCCGUCCACUUUUAUUUGUCAUGAUUUCUUUUUUAGAGUCAAACAAAAUAAUUUUGACUAACUUUCUAUGAUGUAUUCUUUUAUCAUAUUGACAUGCAAAAAAUUUCAAUUUAUAAUAUUUUUCGUAUAGUUUUUUGAAUAUCAAAAUUUUUUGUUUAAAAUAUCGAAUUAAUGCAAUCUAAUUUGACUUUGAAAAUUAGUCAAAUUAACUUUCAAAAAGCGUAACAUGAUAUUUAAAUGUGAACAUAUAUAGCAUUAAAAAACAACUAUUUUUAAUAAGGACAGACAUGUAAAUAGAAAAUACCCUAAUUAUACUCAAAAUUACCUAACCUAAGUAAUUCUUCAUUCAUACCAAAAACAUGGCAUGUAUAGUGGUCCAUGUUUAUUUAGUAGCACCCUAGAGCUAUUAAUGUCUAUAUAAAGGCUACAACUUCUCAAUAUUUUCUCAUCACCAAACAUUCUUUCAUAAAAUCCAUUGCUAUACCAAAAAAGAAAUAUGGGUUUGAAUGGCAAGUUGGUUGUUUCGAUGGAGGUUAAGUGUGGAGGACACUUGUUUCAUGACCUUUAUCAAACUAGUUCUCAUCAUGUAACUAACAUAAGUUCAGACAAAGUCCAUCAUUUUGAUAUUCACGAAGGUGAAGAUCUAAGAGCUGGUUCAAUAAUUGGCUGGAAAUAUACCCAUGGUAAGACUCGUAUCGCUAUAAUUUUGUGGAUUAUUUGAGGGUUUUUUGAAAACUUUUUUUAGUUAAAGAGUAGCCUUGGAACACCGUAAAAGUCGUCAUUGAUACUUGUAUUACGAUAUAAUGUCUAUAUCAUAUUCUGUUGUCAAAUUUUAUAGUCUGUUUGGACAACCUUUUAAAAAUAAGAAAUGUUUUUUAUACUUUUCCAAAAGUUAUUUAAAAAAUUUAAAAUUAGGAUAAAAAAUUAGCAUGUGACUUAGAAGUGUUGCUCACUUUCCUGUGGGAAGGGCAUGAUUAUAGUUUGGAACAUUUUACAUGCCCCUUCUUUUCAUAUGGGUAAAAUUAUUUUAUUCUUUCUAAUUUUUAUUAUUACAUAUGGUGUUUUUUUUUUGCUUCGGUUAUCAUAAAUUUUGUCGUUGUUAUUGUUCUUUUUUUCAAUAAUGUUUGUAUGACUUGUUCACCGUUUUAUUUUGUUUUUAAGGUUGCUUUGAAAUAUUUUAUUUGACUUAAGAGUAAUUUAUUAGAAACAACUCUGUUAUCUUCACAAGAUAGAUAUGAUUUGUAUAUACAUCAUCCUCUCCAUAUCGUAUUUGUGAUUUGACACUAAGUAUGUUAUUGUUAAGGUAUUUGACCAGACUUUUAAGAAAAAACAAGUGAUUUAGUUUUGAGUGAUAUCAAAAGUUAUUUUUCAAAAGCCAGAAAGAUUAGGUUUUCUCCAAAAAUAUUUCUAAAAUAUUGGUCAAGCACAAAAUACUGCUCCAAUAUUGACAAAAAUAUUUUUCAAAAAUUUAUAAGUCAUACACAAAGUAUUUACAAGGUCAAACAUGCUAUUAGUCAUGUAAUUUACCAUUGAGAUACUGUUGAUUAAAAAAAAACAAUUUUCACAACAUGCAAUUUUUAAGAAAUUGACCAAACAUGCUAUUGGUUAUAUAAUUUAUGGUUAUUGAUGAUAAAUUUUAGUAGCUUAAUGUUAUUGUGCAUCACAAAGUUUUAAAUUUUUCUUCCUAUCCAUUUUCCAUAAGUUUCUAAUUCAGUCAAACAAUAUUACAUAAAUUGAGACAAAAGAAAUAUAUUUUAGGAUAAAUUAGAUAAUUGAGAUAGAAUUAAUUUCUUUCUUUUUUUCGUAACUUUUUAAAAAAUAAUUACAGAUGGAAAAGUUAAGGUUACUAAGCAAUUGAUUGAAGCCGUUGAUGAAGAGAAGAAAUCAAUUACUUGGAAAGUUUUAGAGGGAGAUACGUUGGAAUUGUACAAUUCUUUCACUAUUAGUGCAUCUUUUGAAGACAAUUGGGCAACAUGGACAUUUGUGUAUGAAAAGAAAACUGAAGACACACCAGAACCCGUCACUCUUCUGAAGCUUAUGAUCGAUAUUACCAGAGAUUUAGAGGGUCACCUCCACAAGAUUUAAAUGAUCGAAAAUUUCAUCGGAAAUACCUCGAUGCAUCGGUUCCUAUCGUGAUAUAUAUUUAUUAACUUUGUUUGUGUGAUGAAUUUAAAAAAUAUUGGCUUGUCUUAAAGCAUGUAAAAUAAAUAAUAUUGUAUUGUAUGAAGUUCUAAUUAUUAUAAGUAGGUCAAGAUAUUGUGGACUGUUGCAAGUUUUAAAAUUUUAUCUAUAUAGUACCACAAUGUAUUAAUGUGUUUGUACUCAUUCCAGUUUGUAAUAAUAAAAUAAUUUUGAUAAAUGAAAAAUCGUAAUUAAUUUUAUUUUUCUCAAAUUUGUAUUUUUUGAAAACAUUUGUUUUUGAUGUGACAUUGCAUUAAAGAUGCAUGACUAUAUUCGGUGGCGGCUAAUAUAAGUUCCAAUUUUUAUUAAAUUUAAUAUUUAAGAUGAAAAAUAUGAAUAUUUGUAUCAAAAGUAUUAAAUUUUUAAACUUUCGACUUUUAAUUAUAAAAUAUAACUGACGUAAUGAUUAAUAAAUAAAAUAUAAAUAUUAAACUCAUCAAAUUUAAAUUUUAUAGUCAUACUUGAAUGUAGUUAGGUCAAACACACGUUUAGAAUGAUGUUAAAUAUAGUAUAUCAGUUAUGUUGACAUUAGCAAUACUUGCAUUAACUAUAUUGAAAUUAUAUUUCUUAUGAUAUUUUAUUUCGUGUAUUAAAAAUAAUAUGCAUUGCAUAAUUUUUUAAAACUAAUAUUUGUUUACAAAAAAUAUCUUUCACAAAUAUUAUGAAAAGAAUGUGAAAAACAUUUUAAAGACAUUAUGUCUUUCAACAUGCGCAAUGACCUAGUCUUUCAUUUUUAGAAAUUUUCAUAAAAUUAUCGUUUUAUCUCUCUCGAUAUUUCGUUCUGAGUCAUUGUUAUAUGAGUUUUGAAAUUGAUUUCGAGUUUCAAGUUAAAAGUUGUAAAUUUUAAGUUUGAAGAGCUAAAGUUGUCAAAAGUGAUAUUUCGUAUCUUUUAGAGUUUCGAGUGUUAGAAUAAGAUUCUGUUGAUUUCAUCAGUUCUGAAUUGUGGAGAUUGGUCUGAGGGAGUUAUCAGUUUUAGAUUUGGAGUCUUUUUGAUUUUUUGAGGUCCUAAGCUAGAAAUUUAUUGAGAUUUUAGCCUUUGGCUUGACUUUGCUCAACAUUCGAAGUUCAGAUGCUCAGAUCGAGAAGAGUUUCGUUGAACCUUAUUCGCAUGCGAAUUGACAUUUACAUGACAUUUAAUAACUUUCAUUAAUAAGAAGGGUACAUUUGAUCCAAUAGUUUGACGGAAAGAGUAAUUUUGAGCCGAAAUAUAAUUUAAGGGUAAAUAUGAGCAAUUUCAGAUAGCUUAAGGGUAUUUUUGAUCAUUUUCCUGUUUAGUCUGUGUGACAGUGGAACCCUAUUGGCAAGCAAUGUGGUAUCCAUACGACAUUUAACAACUUCCAUUAAUAAGAAGGGUACUUUUGACCCAGUAGUAUGACUGAAAUGAUAGUUUUUUGAGCCGGAAUAUAGUUUAAGCGUAUAUUACGACUAUUUCGAUAGUUUAGAGAUAUUUUUAAACCUCUUCCGCUAAAAAAAAUAAGCUCAUCUAUUGUGACGUAAGUAAAUGUCAGUCAAUUAAAUAUAUUUCGUUGAGAAAAUAUAUGAGAUAUAUAAAUUAUGAAUUACUUUUCGUGAAUAUAUAUUAAUUCUUGAGUUCUUUUUAUAUAAUUUCUUAUUCAAAAAGUCUUAACCCAAAAUCAAAGUGAUUGGACAAUAUAUUGUCUUUGCCAGCUUGUAGAUCAAUGAUUAUUUGGAUGACUUAAAUUUUGAUUCGUCCAAUAUAAGCUAAGUUGGUUUUCAUUUUAUUUUUUUAUUAUUUUCCAUUCGGUGUUCGGUAUCAGUAUAUUGAAGUUUGAUUAAAUUUAAAUUUGCAUAGAAAAUAUUCACGUUGAGGGGGCAAAGCGCUACUUUGGAACUCGAACCUGACCUUUUGAUUAAAGAUAAAGAAGUACUUAUCACUCUACCACAAGUCCACGGCCCUUAUUGAUAGCUAAGUUGAUUUAGCUGAUUUUACUUUUUAACUACCUUCAACUUUUCUAAUUCAAUGGCGCUAUGAUUGUGUCCAUCUCUAAUUAUUACUGCAAGUGACAACUCAAUUUGCCUUAUUGAUCAUUUGAAUAAGGACAAAUCAACUUAUAUGAUUUUAUAACUAUUAUCCGAUGUUUAUAUUGAAGCCUGAUUAUUUUAGAUUUAUGAUGUAAAAGCUCUCUAUAAAAAAAAAAUUAUACCGUAAGUUCGAACACAAAAUUCCUGAUCAAAGAAAGAGUAACAUCAUUUGAUUUACUAAAAUGGGUUGUGGUACACUGGUACACUGAUGGGAGUGCUUCACUCUUAAUCAGAGGUCUCGGGUUCGAGCCUUGGGUAUGGACAUUAACAAUGAUAAUGUGAAUAACCAACUAAGAAUAAGCUUGAAUGAUACUUUUGGUAUUAAAGUAAGUGAUAGUUUGCUCCUAGGUUAUGAUUUGUUUUGACUCGUUCAAUUUGACUUAGUUUGCUCAUUUUUUUUACCCCUAGUUCAUAUCUAUUAUUUGUAUUGCUAUUUCGUGAAUAUUUACAUAUUUUUUGCGUCAAAAAUAUUAAAUCUAGAUGAAGUUAAUAUUGAUCAACACUCUAUAUUCAAUAUAACAAUUGAAAUAUUUUACAAAAAUUAUAUAUGUAGCAAUAAUAAUACAUAUUUAUGAGCAUUUAUAAUCAAAACACUCUAUGUAAUUAUCGGCUAAAGAUUUCAUCGACUCUGAAUAAAAUGACAUCACAAAGAGGAUCCCGAUUAAUCUUACAAAUUUGUUGCAAUACUAUAGUAGAGUCAAGUGGGCUAAUCUGAUGAAUUAACAAUAAUACUUGGGCUGAGCCCAACCCAGAAAGCAAGACACAUUUUCAGAAACAUUAAUAUAAGCCCAUAAUUUUCCAUUAUUCUGGGUGCAUGACUAAAAUCACAUACCAUUUUAAAAAUUAAGAAACUUUCUUUUCGGACACAUUUUUAUCCUUUUACAGAUACAUCUCUCUCCUCUUAGAUACAUCUUUAUCCCCUCUCAAUACGUUCAUCCCCUCUCAGAUACAUCCUUAUCUCUUCUAGGAUACAUCCAUAUCCCCUCUCGGAUACAUUUCCAUCCCCUUUCGGACACAUCUCUAUCUCCCUUUUGACGUAUCUCUCCCCUCUCGGAUGUAUUCAUAUACCCUGUCGGAUACAUCUCUUUCAUAAUUGUAUCAUUCGCGAUUCGUGAGUUAUGUAUUUGCAGGUUUCCUGAUGUAUUCGAGAUCCUAUAAUUUUAAAGAAUUUUUGUAAUUUAGAAGAAAAAUAAAAAUAGAAUAUAAUUAACUCUCGAUACUGUGAAAUUUUAUGAAUUUUUUUUCUUUUGAAGAAUAAGAGUUUGUCAAUAUUUGUUAGGGAAAACUGAAUAAUUAGACAUACUUCACUAUCAUAUAUAACUAUUACCUAUACUUUUAAAAUAUUAUGUAUUUUGCCACUAACUAAGAGUUACUUAUGUAUCUUAAUCUUGGAUAAAUGUAUUUUUUCUACCAGAUAUAUACACAAAAGUAGGAAGAGAGGCGAUCGAGAUUGAAGAGGGAGGCAAACUUGAUUCAUAUGUAUCCUAGAUAUAUGUGAAUCACACUAGAUACAUGUCUGGGAAUGGUGAGCGAGAUGAGAUCGAGGGAGGCAAGCGAAAUUUGUUAUGUAUCUCAGAUUCAUGCGAAUUCAUUUGGAUACGAUUUAUUUAGAACAAAUUACAUCUAAAGUUGACCUCAUGUAUCUGAGAUACAUAUAUCUUGACGUAUUUAGAGGCACCAAAAUCGUAUAAGAUACGUAAUAUUACAAAUUAGAAUAUGUCUAAGUAUUUAACUCCUAAACUAGUUGAAUUUAUCUAAAUUCCUUUUUUUUUUAGUAGAAUUUGUUGUAAUUUUGAGAUUAAGGUGUUUCUAAAGCAUUUUGAUUGAAUAUUUGUUUUUUAGUUUUACAUAGAUUUUGACAAUUAAAAUACAUUAUCAAAUUUUACUUUAUUUUAAUAUUUAGUCAUAUAACUAAUACUUACUAAACUUAUUUUAGCAUGAUUUAUUACUUUAAAUUAUGAUCAAUUUCAUUAUGACUUAUUAAUUUGCAAUAUUUGUUUUACGAGAUUUUUUUGUUGUUGGAUAUUUUAGUGUCAUUAAUCAUAUCAUAUUUUUUGUUAUUUUCUUGAUAAAUAACUUAGAUAGUUGCAUUUUUGUAAGACUAAAGAAAUAUUUAAAAUACAAGGAAAUUAUAUGUUUGUAUGAAUAUUUUAUCGAAAAAAUUCAAAGAAAUUUGAAGUUGAAAAACCCGAGUUUUAUUGGUUUGGUUUAGUUUAUAAAUUCAAAAAUCUGACACAAAUAGUUUGAUUUGAUAUUUGAAAAAUUCCAAACCAACCCGAUCAUGUACACCCCUAGUUUCGACCCAUCCAAGUAUGAGUUGGGUCAAAUGGGCUAAAAGACAAGUUGAGUUUUAACCGAUCCAAUUUGAUCCGAUUAAUCUCAACCAUACUCCUGAGCCCCUCAAUCGCAUAUCUACUACUUAGUCAAGCCCUUAGCUACUUCUGUAUCUUAGAACAACCAUUCUCUUGUUUUAUAGUCUUCAAAUCUAUGAAAAGAGGAAGUUAGGAGAGGAUUCUAAAUAAUUCGAUCGAGCCGAACAACAAAAAGAGAUAAUAUGUUUCUUAGCUUAGCUUAGCUUGCCAUAAACCUACAGGGAACAAGAUUCAGAUCGAAGACAUUCCUUUCUUUCUUUUAUACCUCUCUCUUCUUAGUUGCUCUUCUUUCUAGGGAUCUAAUGACCGUAGACAGCUGACCCGGUAAAUCAUCUAACUUUGUGUAGCUGAAGGUUGCCAAAUCGUAUUGUUAAUUUCAAUCUCGACUCCAGGAAAUUUAAGAAGAAAAAAACUAAUGAAUAGAUAAAUCUUAGAAUAUAAAAUAGAUAUUGUUCCAUGCUUCAAUAGAAGAACAUACAUUACAUCAAUGCAAAUAAAGAGUCUUAAAACGAGUUGAAAUUGAAAAUAAAAUCGGGCUCGAAUUUCAAAUGAAGAUUCUUUUAAAAUGGAUUAAGACUUGAAUCAAUUGAAAUUGAAUCCAAUAAAAUUAUCUUGAUCCCAACCCAUAAAAUUUUAAACUAGUUGACCGAAUUACCUAUAUUUGAGCUCAUUUUGACACCCUUAGGUAUGACCAUAAAAUAAAUAGUACUAAUUAUUUCUCGAAUAACUUUUUAAACACCAAACACCAACAUGAAUUAUAGUGCAAAUAUGAGACGGUUCUAUUCUGGAUAAAACGUUUCGAAUUCAAACUCCGUGAAUAAAGAAAAUCAUAUCGGGAGUUCCUCUCCAGAAUGAACAUUAUAAUGUACGAUUCAAAUUUAACUGAGACUUUAAUGUGAACUUUAAACACCGUAUUGGAGAAAUAAAACACCAAGAAAAAAUCAAAAACAGCUAGUAUUUGAGAAUCGUCAUUGUUGGGCUCGUGCAUAUCAUCAAUAGUUAAUAAUGUCUGCCAUUUCACUAUUAUUAAAUCAUUUAUUGAUCUAUCAUAAUCCUAACUAAAAAAACAAAAAGUAUUUCAUCAACAUCUACUUCCAUUAAAAAAAAAUUGAAAAUGAUUUCUCCAACUAAUUGCCUCAAUUAUCGUUUUAUUUUAUGCAAAAUAACAUUGUUAAGUCAAUUAUAUAUUUUUUUUAUAGUAAUAAAUUGAAGUGUCAUUCUCUUGUUUAUUUAGGGUAGUUAGCCCAUAUCUUGAUAUGUCGGAGCCAUCUAGAUAUAAUAUUAUCUUUGGAAGAAAAAAAAUUAUUUAGAUAAUUUUCCCUCUUUUUUUAUUAUUUUAUUGUUUAAUAGUAUUUAAAAAAUAACAUUAUAAAGAUCUUCUUUUUGAAAUUCGAAGUCAAGAUCUUGAGAUUAAGGAUAAGAGAAUUGAUCUUAUCAACCACACUAUAUUUCUCGAUACUGAUAAACAUGAUAUUAAGAUAUUAAACUAAUAAAAAACGAAGGCGAAUUCAAUAUUUGAAUUUAAUGUAUAAAUUUUUUUAAUCUUUGAUGUUCUUAUUAGAAUUAAUGAGUUUAUUGAACUCUCAAUAUCAUGGUUUUGGAAUAUAACAACUUUUUUUGGAAUAUACUAUUUUUCUUAAACGUAGGAGUGAUAUAAUUUUUCCCCAUAUUUAUUUAUGUUAUACAUAAACACUAGGUUCAAUUAUUUUAUUUUUCCAUAAAUGUGUUAUGUUGUUAGGUCAACCAUAAAUAUAAUAUCUGCCAAAAAGUGGUUAAACCAUACUGAAGUAUUUAAUAUGUAGGGAAUGGCACCUCCGUUUUGUCAAUCAUCAUUCAGGGACGAAGCUAGAAAUCAAAAUAUUAUUUUAUUAAAUUUGAUAGUGUUAAUUAAUUUUUUUAUUAAUAUCGACAAAUUUUUUAAAAAAUAUUAAGUUAUAUUACACCUAAUGUUUAAAAAUUAUAAAAUUCAAAUUUUAACCUUUGAAUUCGAUUUUUUUAUAUCAUAUUUAUCAUCGUUUAAAUAUACUAUGAUCCACAUUGACUCAGCACACUUCACAAAAAUUUCCCUUUAGGUUAUAGUUCCAUAUUUAGGCCAAAAAUAUAAGUACGAUAUUAAUUAGUGUUGCGCCUUAUGAAAUAUUUUAUUUUUUUCGAAAGAAAAAUAUGAACUUAAAUGUGUAUUAGUUCUUUAUCGUCUUGACAUGUCCUUAUCAAUCUAUCCUCCAAUCAUAUAUAUCACAUAUAAGAAAAAAUAAUGUAACCAAAGUAUCCACCUAAAAAAGGCAAUAAAUAUGCAAUAUUAACAUCGAAUGUUAAAAAUAUUUAUUUUAUUUAUUUUUAUCUCCUUCGUAAGAGCUCACACUCUUUCUGUUUCACUAUGAUGACUCGAACUCACAAUCUUCAAAAUUGAAAGCGAGGAAUACUCACUUCUAUUCGAGCAAUUCUCUCUUAUUACUAUUACAAUUAAUUAAUUAUGAUUAUUUUUUAGUAAUAAUCAAUUAAAUCCUCGCGUGUACCACUCCUGAAAGUUCAAAGGUGCAUAGUAGGGUAACAACAACAAAUCAAGUGAAAUUCAACAGACUCUAAAGAGUUUGAAAGAAUGUACGUAAAUAUUAUCACGAUUAAAAAUGAUUUAUUUUUGAAAGUUAUAUAUAUAUAUAUAUAUAUAUAUAUAUAUAUGGCAAAGUUUAAUAUUGUUUCUCCAUAGAUUGAAGUUCUAAAAGAAAUUGAAUGAAUUUUUUAAUUUCAUUUACCAACUCCAACUAGUGUUAGAAUAAAUAAUGUAAAUCAAUUAUUGUGGUGGACAACUUAUGUAUGUGAAUCAUGUGGGAUGAUAUUUUACAAAUAUGUCCACCGGCCACCACAUGAUAUAGUACGAACCGUUGAAUUAAUAUUAGAUUUAAUUUGUUUAUUUUAUUUUAUUUAUUUUAAAUAAUAUUUUUAUUUAUAAUAAUUUUUUUGAUUUAAAUUUCUACGUGACAUAUUUAAAUGAUAAAAAUUAAAAGAUAUUUUACUAUAUUUAAUGUAUUUUAACUUAAGACAAUAUAUUUAAUCUGACAGAAAAAACUGAAAUGACUAACAACUGUAUGCGUCUUAUCAUAUGGGGUUGCUCCUCCAAUUGGGCCUUAGGUUGUGAAUCGAUAUUAAUCGAACUUUAAUAUGAACAUUAACAUAUGGAUCUGGAGGAAUUCAAGAAUUUUCUGUUGGAAGUAAAAAAGACGGGAGUAACAUUACAAAGCAUUAUCUAUGAACAGAGCUAAAUUAAAAUUUUAACUUUAUGAAUUCUGAAUUUUAUAAUAACGAUUUUAAGUGUUAAUGCUUGAGUUAUAAAUCCGCAUACGAACUAUAAUUGUAUACUUGUUCAAGAAAAUACAUGAUAGAGGACAUGUAAGGGGUAAAAUUAGCAAAUUUAUAUAGUAGUUUGAAUUUUUAUAUUAUAUUAUAAUGUAUAGAUAUGAAUUGAUUAAUUCUACUAGAAGAUAAGAUUAGUGAAUUGCAUGCGUUUGAGUGCUAUCCUAUUUCUUUGCUUAUUUUACAAAUUAAUUAUCAAUUGGUAAUAAAAAUAUAUAUAGUUACCAAAAAAAUAAAAUAUUUAAUUGGUCACAUGAUAAGUUUAGAUAUUCUAUAGUUUAUUGAUAAUAAUAUAACUCAAAGGGCCUAACCAAAAAUUUUGUUUGAACCUUCAAGUACUUGAGCUGAGUUUUUACGGUAUUUAUUUAUAUAAUAUAAUAUUUUUAAAUAUUCGAUAUGAUAUUUUGUUACUUAUAUAAAAAAAUAUAAAAAUAUUAAAUAUGAUAUAUAAGUAUAUAAUUAAAUAUACAAUUAAUGUGUAUUAUUAAAAUGUUGAUAAAUUAACUAAUUAAUAUUUAUAGAGAACUGAUUAUUUUAGAUGCUGAAGUUUUGACUAUUCUAUUUGAUCGAAAUAUCUUUUCCUGAAUGAUUAACGAAUAAAUUAAUUUGAAAUGAAAACUUUCGUAUAAAAAAAAGGAAAGAAAAAAAAAGUGAAAUCAAACACUUUUGAUUAUCAUUUUAUUAUACAACAAAAUAUUAAAAUCAAACUACCCUAUUUUAAUUGAUAUAUCAAUUUUGUGUAGGUAAUAAAGUAAGAAAAUUUAUUUACACUUUAUUUUGAAUAUUCCUAUAUAUAAGGUGUUAAUACUUAUAGUAUAAAAUAGAAACAUUUCUAAGAAAAAUAAAAAAUUAAGUUAAAGACGAAUAAAUUAUAAUUAUAAAUUUAUUAUUUAAAAAAAUUAAAAUCAAACUUAAAACUACCAAAAGAUAUUAGAUAGUACUUAAUUAUUUAAUAUUUUAAAAAUUAAAAAUAUUUAAAAUCAAUAUUUUUUAAUACGUAUCAUGCUCACUCUAUGCACGUAAAGCAUCUUCCUAGUAAUCACCAUAAUUAAUAUCCAUUAUUGCUCUCGAAAACAUGUCCCAAUUUUUCGAAUCCAUAAAGAAGAAAAGCAAAAAUAAUAUAUAUAUAUAUAUAUAUAUAUAUAUAUAUAUAUAUAUAUAUAUAUAUAAUCGAUUAUCUUUUGUUCAUUUAAAAAAAAAAUUAUUGUCUAUAUUAAUUAUUUCCUUUUUUAAAAUUUAUAUAUCAUAAUUAAUAUCCAUUAUUGCUCUCGAAAACAUGCCCCAUUGUGAAAUAAUUUAAAUCCACAAAGAAGAAAAACAAAAAUAUUCGUUUUUUAUUGGUCAUUCUGACGUAUUUCUAUAUAUAUUUAAUCAUUUAUUUUUAUCCAAUAUUUUAAAAAUAAAAUUUCUCUUCUAUAGAAAAAUUGAUUUUGUUUUCUAUAUUAAUAUAUUAUUUACUUUAUUUUUAUUUAUAUAUCAUCGUUAUUAAAAAUAAUUACAAUUACCAUUAUUGCUCUCGAAAACAAGUCUUAUUGGUGUUCAUUUUAAUUUAUUUAUUCAAUAUUUAAACAAUAUAUUAUAUUGUCUAUAUUAAUUAUUCUCUUAGUUUUUAUUUAUAUAUCAAUUCUUAGAUGUAUCUUGCAUAUAAGAGUCCCUUUUUGUUUCCUAAUAAUAGAUUUACAUAAUUAAUAUGUGUAAUUCUUCAUAUUUAAUUGUAUAAAUUAUGUUUUGGUUUUUAUUAUCAAAAUUACUCAUACAAACGAAAAAUUAUAGUAAUAUUUUUUAAUUAUUCCAACAUAACCUUAUAUAUGCCAAAAACUAUUUCUUACUUCAUAAAUAAAGACUUACUUUUUCUAUUAGUAAUAAAAAUUCAUAAUUUUAAUUAAAAAAGGUCAAAGUAUCAUAAUAUUAAAAAAUUUAAAAUAGAUUUAGGUUGCUAAUUUAGAGAGUAAGGUAUCAAAAAUUAUUAAUUCAGACUAAAGAAGAAACGCCAACUUUUUAAAGAUAUUUCGAUGUAUUUUAUUUUAAAAUCCCAAAAUUUAUUUUUUUAUUUAUAUUUUGUUAAACUUUUGUAUCAAGUUAUCAAUAAUCUUUUAAAAUAAUUAUUUUAAUUACGAUUUGACAAUAACAAAUCAAUUGGUCAAAUAGCAAUCACUAGACAGCUAGAUUAUAAAAAUAAAAUAAAAUAAAAUAGGGCAAUGACCUACUAUAUGGGGUCAAUCCCAAUAAAAACUGAAAAACAUGAUCCAUUUUAUUAGCUCUAAAUAGAUACUCUUUUUAUUUUCAUUUUUGGAAAGUAAAAUAUAAUUUUCCCUCGGUUUAUAUUUAUUUGUCUUUUAUUUUUAAAAUAAAAUUUUAUUUUACUUAUCACUCUUUUAUAUUAAGAAAAAAUAAUUUUUUUUUAAAAAAAACACAAUAUGUCAAUAAUUAUUUUCUUAAGAGUAAAUCAAAUCAAACAGUCACGGAUAAAAAUGAAGUAGGAAGUGUUUUUGUUAACUUAUUCUUAAUAUAAAUAUAUUUAAAUAAAGUGUAUGACUUAGUAAUUUUUUAUUAAAUAAAAUCUUCUUUAUUUAAAUGAAUAUCAAAUUAAAAACCAUCAUUGAUAUCUUUUUCGUUAUGUAAAAUAUUAUUUAUUGCAAAACAAAAUAAAAAUAUAAAAAUAACAUUUGUUAUAAAAUAGAGGAGAAAUAUAUAAAAGUAAUUGCUUCCAAGUCAGGAUAGAUAUAGCUGUUUUUGUAUCGACGACUAUAUAUAUUAUACAUUAUAAAUAUAUAGAGAAAAACAAAUGCAUAAAAUAAGGAAAUUAUAUUUAAAAAAAUAAUAAUAUAUAACGCAACUUUGUAUCUUUGGGUUUUCAUUAUUUUUUGUAAGAUUUUUUUUCUAAUAUAUUUUUUUCAAAUCAAUUUUGAUAUAUUUUAUUUGAGUCAGAUGCGUAUUAAGGAUUUUGAUAAGAUGAUGGAUAUAUAAAAAAUUGAUUUAUGAUAUAGAUUAGAUUGGCUUGAUAUUUAGAUUUUUAUUACCGAAAAUCAUUAAAUUUUAAUAUAUAUAUAUACACACACACCAAUUAUCACUCAGAGAAGUGUUAUCUAAUUUUACAAGGAAAAAUAAAACAAGAUAAAUAAAAUUAAAAAAUUGUUACCUCGCAGAAAGAGGUGCAUCCAGGCAUAAUCGCAUUAUGUGAUACUUCAAGUGAGGGGUUCACACAUCUAUAUUUCAAUAUUUUUUAAAAAAUGUAACACUACUAUAUAUUACUAUAUAUGAUCUCGGAAAAUCCCCGUGACCCCUCUUAGAUACGCCUCUGAUCUGAAUCGAGCGUGUAUUAUUUAUUUUUAAAAGAUAAAUCAGGGAAAUGGAGAAGGACAUUUCGGAGUGGAAAAUUGAACACUUACAAAAAAGUUUAGAUAAUCAACUACCGUUAAGAUUUUCAAUUAUUGUUAUAUUUAUAUUCUAAGAAGAAAUAUAUAUAUAUAUAUAUAUAUAUAUAUAUAUAUAUAUAAUAUUUUUUUUAUGGUGUAAACAUAUUGCCCAACUAUAAAAGGACAUAGAGAUUCAUGUUAAUAAUGAACCACACACACAUCAUCUUUGUAAGAUAAUAUUUGAGAGAGAGAGAGUGAAGAAGAUGAGUCUUGAAGGGAAGUUGGUUUCAGAGAUAAAUAUAAAGUGUGAUGGAGAUGUAUUUCAUGAGAUUUUUAGGCAUAGACCACAUCACAUUUCAACUAUGAGUUCUGAUAAAGUACAAAAUGUGGAUAUUCAUGAAGGUGAAUGGGGUACUGUUGGAUCUGUCAUUUUUUGGAAUUUUACCCAUGGUAAGCCACCACCACUUUAUUAUACCACUACAACUUCUUUGUUAUAUCGACAAAAGGUGGAUUCAGAUUUUAAAAUUCUAUAACGAUCAUGAGUUAACGUAACAUAAUAUUCUUAUAACUUAAGUUUGUAAUCAUUUAUUUAUAAAUACUUUUUAGAUUUUUAAUAUCGAAGAUAGCAAAUUUUUGAAAUUGAAUUAUAUUCGGAUAAUUUGAAUAAAAGUCAUUAAAAUGAAUCUACAUGUGUCUUAAGGGCUAGAUCUGCCCUUAUAUUGUUAGCCUCCAAUUUAAUGGUACUCUAUAUGGUCUAAAAUAAGUAUGGUUUAAGGUUUUCAACACAUUUAUUAUAAAAAAAAAAUUAAUGAGUGGUGAUCAUAAAUAAAGAUGCAUGGAUUUAGAAUUUAAGUAUAUAUUCAAAUGAUUAGCUUUUUAGCCUUCAAUGUAUUAUAUUUUUUAAGUUAUUAUUUUCGAUCUAUUAUAUUUAUUACAAAUUUAGUAAAUAUUUAUACGUAGAUUUAAGAUCUAUAUUAAAAUACUCGAUUCAGAUAAAUCUGAUGCCACAAUCGCUGCAUCCCCAUGUGAUCACAAGGAUUAUUUGAAUAAAUUAACCUUAUUAUUCCUCAAAGUACUCUUUUAUCUCUCCAUGGGCUUUUAGAUCGGUGAAAAGGUUGAGUUUACGAAAAUAAUUACUUUUUUCCAUUUUAAUAUGUUUAUGUGGUUUUGAUUUGAUUCAGAGUUUUAAAAGUGCAUAAUUUUUUCUAAAAUUUCACGGUGUCAAACUAAAAAUACGUAAAAUAUUAAUUAAAUAUCUUUUAAUUUUGUAAUUUUAAAUAUGUCAUGUGAAAAAUUAAAAUCAAAGAAAUAAAAGAAAACAUCAUUUUAAAAACAAACUAAAUAAAGAGAACACAAAUAAAUUAAAAUGGAGGUAACAAUGUUUUCUUGAUUUAGAGACACUUAAUUUGAACUAUAUUGAUUUUGGAUAAAACAAUACUUAAUUCAAUUAAAUAGAGCAUUUUUUACACAUCAAAGAUUUGUGUAAAUUAUAAUUCAUAAUUUAAAGAGUCAAUAAGUAUAUAAUUUGUUAUAUACACUAUUUAAAAAUUGCUAACUAAAGCUUUUGUGUAUAUAGAUGGGAAAGAAAAGGUUGCAAAGGAAAUAAUUGAAGAAAUAGAUGAAGAAAAGAAGCUUGUUAAAUUCAAGGUGAUUGGAGGAGAUAUAUUGGAUUAUUACAAAUCAUUUUACCUCACUGUUCAUGUUGAAACAAAGGGUGAAGACAAUUUAGUUACUUGGAUUUUGGAAUAUGAGAAGUUAAAUGAAGACAUUGAAGAUCCUCACACAUUGAUGAAAUUUUGUCUUGAUGUUACAAAAGAUAUUGAAACUCAUCACCUAACAGGAAAGUUAGUUUCUGAGAUAAAUAUCAAGUCAGAUGGAGAUGUGUUUCAUGAGAUAUUUAGGUAUAGACCACAUCAUAUUUCUAGUAUGUCACCAAGUUAUAUACAAAAUGUGGAUAUUCAUGAAGGUGAAUGGGGCACUGUUGGUUCUGUUAUCUUUUGGAACUUCACUCAUGGUAAGCCUAUAUCCUAGCUAUUACUCUUUAUUCUUUGUCAUUUGAUGUUUGAUAUAUACUUACUGACUCAGUUGACCUAGAUUCGUGAUGCAUAUGGUGUCCAUUAAAGAGAAAAUGUUUCUGUUUCCUCCGUUUCAUGAAGUUUUGAGUUCGAAAUCCAUGAUAUGCAUUUUAAGUUUAUCGUACUAUAUCCUAGCUACUCUUUAUUCUGUGUCAUUCGAUGUUUGAUAUAUACUUACUGACUCAGUUGAUCUAGAUUCGUGAUGCGUAUGGUCCAUUAAAGAGAAAAUGUUUCUGUUUCCUUCGUUUCAUGAAGUUUUGAGUUCGAAAUCCAUGAUAUGCAUUUUAAGUUUAUCAUACUAUAUCCUAGCUACUCUUUAUUCUGUGUCAUUCGAUGUUUGAUAUGUACUUACUCACUCAGUUGAUCUAGAUUUGUGAUGUGUAUGGUCCAUCAAAGAGAAAAUGUUUCUGUUUCCUCCGUUUUAUGAAGUUUUGAGUUCGAAAUCUAUGAUAUGUAUUUUAAGUUUAUCGUACUAUUUUUUUUUUGUUUCAAUUUAUGUGAAAUCGUUUAGCUGGAUAUAAAAUUUAGGAAAGAAACAUACAACUUUUUGAGUUUGUGAUUUGCGAUAAGUUUUAUAUAUCAUGAUAAACUAAAAAAAUUGAAAGUUAAAUUGUUUCUAAAAAUAUACUAUUCAAUAAUUGGAGAUAUGGAAGUAAAAUUUUUAUAAGCUAAUUGUUCCAAUACUCAGUACAUGCUUUUGUCUUAAUUAAACAAUAGGUCAUAAUCUAAUCUUAUGAAAGCUUAGACAUGUCAAAAUUUAUAAUCACAUAUAUAAAAAUAAAUAAUUUUUUGGAUUUGAUUGGUUAAAUAUAUAUAUAUAUAUAUAUAAACCUGAUAAUUAAAUGAAGAGUAAAACUUUGGUUGGUUUGAUUAGGUAACUAAAUAAUAAACAAAUAAAAAGUGCUGAUUUUGGAUUGGACAUAAUUGAUUGCCACAGCUGGUUAGAUAUAGACAUGAUAACAAAAUAAUAAACAAAUAAAAAGAGAUUUUGUCAGACAAAUAGCGUUUAUUCAUACAAUUUGUUAUUAUUUGAUAAAUUUUUAACGAAUAAUUAAAUUUUUAAAUACUAAUUUUUUCUACUAUUUGAAUCAGAUCUCAUUAUUUGGGAUCUUUGAAAAUUGAAAUUUUACAUCAAAUUUUUAUCUUUUACAAACACACCCUCUAUAGUAAUUGUUUGCGUUGUAUUACAUAAUUUUUUUACGUGAACACCAAAGUAGUGAUGAUAUAUUCUUUAAUAAAUAUGAAAGCAAAGAUAUGGUUGUUGAUGAAAAUGAUGAACAAUCCGCUCAAGGUAACAAAGUAAUCUGUUUUGCCUACUUCAUGAUGUAUGGAUUGAUGCUUGUCGCACUCACUCCAAACUACCACAUUACUCUAGUGUCAUAGGCACUAUUUGUUAUUUGUUGCAACGAAGAUCCAAUUGACUUGUAAUACAAACUUUGUGGUUAGUUCUGAUAGUUUUUAAAAACUCAUGAAUAUUAAUCAUAUUUUUUUUCCAAAAAAGUAAAAUAUAUUUCCCAAGUACUAUAACCAAACAAAUAGUCAAAUUUCACCCAAAUUUUUACUUAAAUAAUAUUUGCCAAGACUAUCUGGAAAUCUAUAGUCAAAUGCUAGCUAAAUUGUGACAGGUUAUUUAACUUAAAUUGACAUGUUCGAUCCAUUAAUCCCAUCAAUACUCUCAUAUGUUUAUUCAUUUGAACCAUUUUAACUCGUUCAGAUUCAAUUCAAAUACUCUCAUUUGAUAAAGGGAAUUAGUAAUACUAAAUUCUUACUAUAUAUCUUUGUUUGUAGAUGGGAAAGAGAAGGUGGCAAAGGAAGUAAUUGAAGAAAUAGAUGAAGAAAAGAAGUUGGUUAAAUUUAAAGUGAUUGGAGGAGAUAUAUUGGAGGCUUAUAAUUCAUUUUAUCUCACUGUUCAUGUUGAAACAAAAGGUGAAGAUAACUUAGUCACUUGGAUCUUGGAAUAUGAAAAGAAGAAUUGUAAUGUGCCAGAUCCACACACUUUAAUGGAAUUCUGCCUCAAUGUCACAAAAGAUAUUGAGACUCAUCAUCUCAAUUGAUACAUAAAUAUCACUAUGUUCAUACAUAAAUGUUGCUCGAACUUUUAAAAAAUAUAUCGAUAAUUAUAAUAUUAUCCUAUGUAUUGACGAUAUUUCUAAAGAGUAUGAGCAAUAUGGGGGUGAAUGCUUGGAACUAAGAUGUGGUGUCUCAAGUCUUUUAAUAAUGUGUGGUGUUAUUAAUGAGUGUGCUUUGAAAUGUAAACUAUAUGUAUCAAGAAUAAAAUAAAAUAGGGCAAAAUGAGUGACUAUGUAAUUUCUAAUAUAUAAUAUUUUGUUUGAGAUUGAAAAAUAGCUUGUAUUUUUUAAUAUUGCUAUUGUAUUUUUUUUCUAUAGUUGAUUUUUAUAUACUUUAGUUGAGCGAUAGUUGAUUACAAAUAAUAUUUAUUUUCGGUUAGGAUAAGAGUAAAAUUUAUGAAUAUAUCAUAUAUCUUGACUCCACUUAUGAGAUUACAUUAGAUAUAUUAUUUACAUUAGAAUUUCAAUUAAUCUGAAUUCACAUUGCGUAUAAUCCAUUAAUAAAAAAGAAAAUGUUUCUUACAAUUAAGACUUCCCUUAUUUACUUAUUCAGAUUUUAAUAUUUAUCAUUUCUGAUUAAAAACGAAAAAAUCUUAUCAACUUGCCACGUCCCUCGAAUAAAUAAUAUUUUUCUAAAAAAUUUGAGAGAUUGGUUUUUGGGAAUUGUGUUUUUUUACUUUGUUUCUGGAAAGUAAUAAGCAAAUAUUUCUCAACCAUAUUUUAUAUACAAUGUCAGUUAUAUACAUUAUAUAUAGCAUUAUAUUUUAUAUAUAUUAUAUGCUUACAUAGUACGAGCCAUUUUAUACUAAUGGACUUUAAACCAGGGAGAAAAGAAAAAUAAAAAUACAGAGAAAUUUUUAAGAAAUUAUUAAAAUUUCACGUGGUUCUUAAAUAUCCAUUAUCAUAAUUCAAGAUUUUUGUGUUCAAGUAAAGCUCUUUAAAUCGUAAUGUUUAUUUCAUAGGCUUGAUCUUUCGUAAAUAGAGUCAGAAUAAAAUGUCUAUAAUAAAAAGAUUUGAUACACUUUUAUUGAGUAUUAUUACUUUCUCUUCAACCAUAAUACUAUUAGUUGAUUAGAUAAUCGAACACAAUGAUUUUAAUUUAUUACAACAAAAAAUAGUAAAAAUAAUAUGGCCAUUAUAUUACAUAUAGCAUGUGGCAAAUACCAAACUAGUGUUUUACACAUUUAUCAAUUAGAAUGACCUAAUACAAGGCUCAUCCCAUAACACUUGUACAUUAUUAUAAAAUUUACUAAUAAUAUUAUAGCUUAUGCAAUAUAGAAUGCAUCCUCAGAUAAUAUUUUAGGAAUCACCUCAAUUUGCAAUUUUACUUCACCACACUCCACAUUUUGCAACUUAAGUGUCAUGUCUUGGAUCAAUUUGCCAUUUUCCCAUAUGAUGCAACUCUCCUUAGCUAAGCAAUUGUCACUAUUUGGAUGAACUUUGUCAACUUUGACACCAUUUGGAAGGUCUUGAUGAUAACUCAUUUCCAAUGCUUUGAGAUAUGGUUUGAUGUCUAUCUUUGCUUCACCUAUUUUGUCAUCUUUACUAAAUGUAUCUUUGUCAUACACAGUCUGAAAAUAUCAUAAUCAUCAUAUUAAAUAAUUAUAUAUAUCGAGAAAUAUUAGUAGCUCUGUUGGUUGACUAAUUGAAUUUUAUCCUUCAUUACAAUAAAAAAUACAUUAUUGACGUAAUACAUAUACAUCAGCUAACAAUUACGGCCUUUAACUUUGAAUGUGCACAAGUAGACACAUAAAAUUGAACAAAUAUACACACAUUAGUCCUACAUGUCACCCUGAAAAUUUUGUGUCCUACGUGGCGUCUUACUUGUUCAAUUUUAUACAAAGUUUAAUAUCUACUUGUGUAGAUUCAAAGUUUGAAGACAUAAUUAUCCUUCGAAGCCAAGUUGAGGAUCAUAUUUAUGCAUUACGCCAAAGACAUAUAGUGAAAAAUACAUUUUCUCUAUAUUUAACAUAAAAAUAUUUAGCUACAAUAAGCUUAAUUAGUUUCAUUGAAGAAUAAUAUUAAGAGAGAGUACUCACCAAACCAAUUUGAACAUUUGGAUAUUUGAGUGCAAGUGUCAAUUCAUCAUCCCAGACAGGGUUGCAGUUGUUCUUCUUACAACUAGUCUUCACUUUCUAUAAGUCAAUUACAAAACAUCAGUACAAAAUAACAGAUAUUAUUUAGAUUUUGACAUAAUGAAACACAAAAAGAAAGUAUUUAUGAUUUUAAGUUUAUGAAUUUUGGAUUUAGAACAAGAUAGUAUUUUGAUAAUAUACUUCAUUCCAAUUUUUGUGAAUAUAGUUGGACACAUGUGUCCUGUUAGCGUGGGUUCAAUAUCUGUUAUUCUUUUUUUGUCUUAAUUUAUGUGAUAUAAAUAGAAUUUAGAGAGUCAGUUAAAUUUUAAUAUGAUUUUUAAAUAUUUAAAUUGUUAAUUAUCGUGAUUUAUAGUACUUUUACAUAAUUUUAAAUAAUAUAUGUUAUUCCCCUUUGUCCUAAUAUAUGUAUAACAUAAAGAUUUUUCAAGAGUCAAUCAAAUAUUGUUAAUCAUUGAGAUUUACAAUACUUUUUAGGUGAUUUUCAAAUUAAAUAAUGUAUAUUACUUCUUCUGUCCCAUUUUAUAUUGAUACCUAUAGAUUAAUUUCAAAACUUAAUCGAACUUUUUAUAUUGUUUUUGAAAUGUUUAAGUUUGUCAAUUAUUAUAAUUUAUAUUACUUUUUAUAUAAUUUUUAAUUUUAUAUAUAUAUAUAUAUAUAUAUAUAUAUAUAUAUAUAUAAAAGAAACAAAUUAAAAUGAAUUCGAACAUGAUAGAUUUUCAUCUCAGGUUAAUCAAUUUAAUGAUCGACUUUCUCUUAUAAUAUUAUAAAUUUUAUUAGACAAUGAAAUGUUAAAAAAAAGAUUUUUUUAAAGAACUUAUGAUAAUAAAUAUUUGUAUGUCUAUAAAUAAUUUCAUUAAAGUAAGAUGCAUGGUACUAAGUUACUGAAUAUAAAAAUUAUUAUAUUUGAAUGGACUAAAAAAAGGAGCGACACAAUUAAUUAGACAAAGAGAGUAUAUAAGUUAACUUUUUAGAAACUUCAUUAAACAUAAAAACACAUAGUCUAAGACCAAAUUGUUGGUUUUGUAACAAGUUCUAAGAUAUAAAAUCGAGAUUUUUUAAAAAGAUAAAAGUUGUAAAUAAUCAAUAAUCAUAACUAAUGAUAGUAAUAUUCUUCAUAUAAAAAUAUAAAAUCUGAAUCAAUUAUAUUAUCAAAAAAUUUAUUUCAGAUAUGCCUUUGAAAGACGAUAUAUUUGAUCACUCAAUAUGAUUAAACUCAUAAAAAAUAUGCAUAAAACAUGUACCUGAUCACCCAUGGUAAGAACAACAUAAGGAUCACUAUGAAAUAUAUCCUUGAGUGGUAAAUUGAUGCCUUUGUGUACCCUAAUUUUAACAAGUCCCAACAUCAUAAAAAAAAAAUUGAAAAUUUUUCAACUUAAUUGGUUUAUGUGCCACAACAAUAUAUCAAUAUGGCCUAAGAAAAUGACUUUCAUUUAUUGAUUUAUUCUUUUUAUCACUUCAGAAUAAUUCUAGUAUUUUAUUAGAAUUUCAAAAAGAAAAAGGAAAAUGAGAAUUUAUACCAUAGGUCAAAUUAUUCACCUUUAAAAGAAUCUCUCACUUUCUACUUUCAUUUUUUUUAUUAAUAGUUUUAGCUGAAUUAACCUUUUUUUUAAAAUUUAUAAUCGAUCACUACUUUAUAACUAAAUGAAAUUGAUAUGAUUUUUUUGUUAUUUAAUUAUUAAAUUUUAUUCUUAAUUAAUUCCUAAUGAUUUUGUAAUAAUGUGUUCAAAGAGAAUCUAAUAACUUUCUAAAGUUAUUCUUGAAUAAUGUCCUUGGCUAGGUUAGCUUUAUUCCAAAGUUCACAUCUUUUAUUAAAUGGAAAAAAAUGAAAUAUGCCAUUGAAUUAUCAUAAAUAAAUUAUUUAUAUCGAUCAUUGUUAAAGAAAUAGGUUUAUCUAUGCUAUUGCCUUUAAUUAAAUAUUUAAUUAAAUUAAAAUUAAAUAUGAACUGAUUUAAAUAAAACCCGAUUCACCAGUAGAAUAUAUAGUAUCCAACACGAUUCAAGCAUUAUUCAUUACUUAGAUAUUUAAUAUAAUUAUCAAUAAAUAAUACAUUUACUGACCUUGUUCCCCAAUAUACUAUCAAAUAUCACACUGAUCACUAGUAAUAUUAGGUUAUUAUUAUGAACCACAAAAUAAAAUUAAAGUAAGAUCACCAUAGACACAAAAUAUUAGUUAAAAAAUACAUGUAACGCCAAAGAAACACAAAAAACUGAUGAUAUAUAUAGAAGAAUCACAUAAAUAUAUAUCUUCCAAAAGGGAAGCUUCAAAAUAUUCUAGCACAAUAUAUAAAAAAGCAUACACAUAUGUAUUAUAUGGUCACAUUACAUAAUAGUGUUAAAAAUUUAACAAUGUUGCUUCAACGAAGCAAAUAUGAUUUUAUACGCCUCGCGCUCAAGGCUUUUUAGGUACUUGAGGGAUUUCUAGCUUUGGCAAAGUUGGUAAUUCAGGCUUAGGAAUAACAGGUAUCUCGAGUUUUGGCAAUGCUGGAAGUUCGGGCUUUGGCAAUGUUGGUAACUCGGGCUUUGGGAUUUUUGGCAGUUCGGGCUUUGGCAAUGUUGGUAACUCGGGCUUUGGGAUUUUUGGCAGUUCGGGCUUUGGUAGAGUUGGUAGCUCAGGUUUUGGAAUUACAGGGAACUCGGACUUAGGCAAAGUUGGAAUUUCAGGUAAAUGUGACGAUUCGGGCUUAGGAAGCUCAGCCAGAGUUAUUUCAAGAAGAUGACGAGCGUCUGCUUGAAUUACAUAAUCACUUGUUAAAAACAAAGUGACAAACAAUAACAAGAAGAAAGAAGAUGGGUUGUAGCAAUAAGCCAUAUUUGUUGAAAGGUGAUAAAUGCUUCAUGACUAGUAAUUUAUGCUUUGAUUAAUUAUGCUUUAUGUUUCACUUCAAACAAGUUUAUAUAGAAUUUAAAAAUUGGAGAAUUAGGCUUUGGUAGGAAAAAUUUUGUGUUAGUUCAUCUUCUUAACAAUAAAUUUAUUUAUAUAACAUAUUUUAUGUAUGAUAUUUCUAUUCAAACACAUAAUAAAAAGUCUUCAAGUAGGUGAUCUAAAUAGAGAACUUACUUUCCUUUAAAAUUAGACAAAGAUUAAAUUGAAUAAAAUGACAUACCAUUACUAGAUUAUGUACAAUUAUAGUAAAGAUAACUAAUGACAAUACUCAUGUUAUGUACCUAGUUAUUGUCGUAUACUAUCUUGAGGCCAGACAAGAAAUUCGUAAACUUCAAAUUUUAAGAUGUAAUAACAGUGAAUGAAUUAUACAACUUUGAAAAAUUUUUGUCAAUCACUUUCCAAGUAAUUGAUUUCUUCUGAGAAUCGAUGGCUUCAAUCUUAGCGAACAUUUCUUUUCCAUCUAUACAUUAAAGAUCAGAAAAAAUACAAUAGAUGUUACUCCUAAUUCAAAUGUUAAUUAAAACUCUAAUAUAAAAUACACCUAAAUAUAGAAAUUGAUGCAAGAAAAUAAUAUUGUGAGAAUGUGAGAAGAAUAAUAUAUUUUUUAUCUUAUUUUUGUUGCACGCAUAGGCAUACAAAGUAAAUGGGACUUUUUCAAAAUCACGAUGAUAAUUAUUUCGUUAUUAUAACAUUAUUAUUUCAACAAUAUGUACAUGUUCAAAUACAAUUAAAUUUAAUAAUUAAAGACAAAAAAAUAGUACAAAAUAAACCUAAAGAAUGUUAUGAUACUUUGGUUAAUUUUAAAAUUUAUCGAUAACACACCUCAAAUUUUCGAAGAAAUUAUAAGAGUUAAAUUAUUUUAAAAUGUGAAUAUAAAUAAAUAAAUUGAUUGACUAAUCCAGCAACACUUGAUAAUGGAAUAACGAUACAUAUUAACUUAAGAAUUUUUUCUUUUUUAAAGUACAUAAAAAAACGGAUGUACUAAAUAUAUUAUAUAAUUCUUUUAAAUAUUGCAUCCAACGAGAAAAUCACAAUAUUUCUUGACAUAUAUAUGUCACUUCCAAAUCAUGUUUAGUUGGAUUCUUUUAUUGAUUUAAUUUGACUUUUCGAUUUGAUAGUACAAUUUUUUCGAUUUGAUUUAGACACCCUUAUGCUUAGCCUCAAUUUUAUAGGGUUACUCCUAAUUUGUAAAAUAUGGCACUAUAGAACAUAUAAUAGCAUGAAACAUCAAAAUAUUCAUUGUAGGGGUCCAAGCACAAGUUUUUAAUUUGCUUACUUGCUCCGCGACAAAUUUUGUUGAAGUUUGAUCAAUAUGAAGAUUAUGUACUAGCUUUGUCUCUCUAAGUCAAUAUGAGGAUUAUAUAUAUAUAUAUAUUCUUCGAACAUUGACAUUAUAUAGAAGUGGUGUAUAUAUAUAGAAAAUAUUCCUCUAACAUGAUAUAUUAUUUAUUUUACACGCUAGCUAGGACUAGCCAAUAUUUUCAAAUACUCAUCACACAAGAACAAACACAUAGAUAUAUAUAUAUAUAUAUAUUCUUCAAACAUCACAUUAUAUUUAUAUAUAUAUAUAUACACUCCAAACAUGAUAUUAUUUAUUACAUGCUAGCUAGGGCUAGCCAAUAUUUUCAAAUACUCAUCACACAAGAACAAACACAUAGAUAUACUUAUGUAAAGGACCGUUGAACAUCAUAGAUUUUCUAAUUCUUGAGAAGGUGACUCUCUGUAUCCUUGAUCACACCAACGCAAUAAUGCAUGAGAGCGAGGGGUUCUGGGGUAUCUUCAGUUUUCUUCUCGUACACAAGUGUAUAUGUAAUCCAUUCAUGUUCAGAUGAUGUAAUAACGGUGAAGGAAUUAUACAAAUCUAAUAAAUUUCCUUCAAUCACAUUCCAAGAGAUUGAGUUCGUCUGAGGAUCGAUGGCUUCAAUCACAGUCUUAACAAACAUUUCUUUUCCAUCUAUUCAUCAAAGAAAAAAAAAAUAGAUGUUACUCUAAAUUCAAAUUUCAAAUUCUUUAUUUUACUUUCCUUUUUUUUUUUGCAAUAGAUGUUACUCAAAGUUCAAAUUUUAAAUUCCUUAUUUUUAUUUUCCCUCUUUUAUUAGUUUCAUUUUAAUAAAAAUCAUCUAUUAAUGCUCAUGAAGAUUAGAAUGAUGGCUGAAGUAAUUUUCCAUUUAAAAAUACAUCAAAUAUUUUUCAAAAUUCUUAUCGUUUAACUCUUAAAAAAAAAAGGAAAACAUGACAAUUAAAAAUAGACCGAGAGAGUAAUCAAUACCAUUAACUAACUUUUUCAUGGAAAAGAUUUUCAUGGAUAGGAGAAUUACUUUCGAAAUAUGAAAUACACCUAAAUGUAGAAAAUCGAUGCAAUAAAUAUUGGGAGAAAGAGAGGAGAGAAAUGUGUGUUACCUUCGUAAUAUUUCCAGCUAGCAACCGAACCAAUUUCCCCUUUUUCACCUUCAUGGAUCUCAAAAUGCUUGACUCUACUAGGGCUUAUGGUGGAUAGAUGUUGGGUAUUAGUACGGAAAAUAUCAUGAAUUGAAUGUCCUCCACACUUCACUUCCAAUGAAACAAUCAACUUACCUUUACGGCUCAUAUUUUAUUUUUCCUAGUAAUAGCAAUGAGUUUUCGAUAGGCAAGUGGUAAGAAAAUGUAUAAAAGUUGUACCUUUUUAUAUAGAUUUUAAUUAAUGUAAGAAGCUAAUCAAUGAAAAAUAUUAUUCACCACAUGUCUAUAUCACAUAGUGGCGGUGUUAAUUAAAUUUUGUAUAAUUAGGUUUUAGUUUAGCUAUAAAUUUAUUAUGAUAUGUUACCAUGAUAAUUGAAAUAUGAUGACAAUACAAUUAUAAAUAAUGAGGUAUAUAUUUAUUUUUAUGCGACCGUAUUUUAAUUUUCUUUCUUUAGUGAUGGUGAUCAAUUGUGGUGUCAGUCUUAGCUUCUUUUCGGAUCAAAUCUUGAUUUUUUUCUAGCUUUUUCGAUUGUCGAGCCCGAUCGAUUCAACUAUUCUUAUUAUCUGCCUCUCACUUCGUUUCGUUCUUAUUUUUAUGUACCUCCGCUUGAAUGAAGACACUCAAUCAACCCAACCCGACUUUUCCAAGUGCCCCCACUGGUUCUUAUCUUUUACGUGUCUAGAUUAGUUAUUCUUGUUAAAAUUAUCUCUUGAAGAAGCGUGAGCAGAUGCCUCGACCUUUCUCAGUAUUUGGAUGGACAAGUAUCGUAUAGAAAAUUGAUUCUUUUUUACUAGGUUAGAAGAUUCCGUACUUACAAAGAUUUCAUCCUAAUCCAAAAAGAAGAACAAAACCCAUAAAUUACACAUAUAUAAAAACGGAUCAAACCAAACCACGGUUAGUUGAAUUCUUUGUUGAUUUGAUUUGACUUUUCAAUUUGAUAUUACGGUUUUUCAGUUUGAUUUAAUUAAACAUCUUUAUGCCUUGCCUCAAAUUCAUAGGGCUACUCCUAACUUGUAAUAUAUAUUGUAAUAUAAAACAUAGAAUAGCACGAGGAAAUUAUAAGCUUUACUCUUCUUUUAUUUUCUUGCACAUAUUUUAGGGUUCUAUUUAAUUUGAUUUGAUAAAAAGAGAUAUAAAAAAAACUUCAAAUUGGAAAAAAUAUUUUUAUACAUAAACUCAAGUAAUAGAUGUAUAAGAAUUAAAUUUAUAAAAAUGGUGAAUGAUAUAUUUUCUUGCAAAAAAAAUUUCCAAUUUUUAUUUGGUGAUUUUAUAGUGAUAAUGUGUACGUUAAAGAAGAAAAAGAGAAAAGGAGUAGGGGCGGAGGAGGGUGGGGGCCUGGGGUGGAUGAGGGCUGAGGUUGAAAAAGAAGAAGAAGAAAAGGAGUAGAGGACGGGGGAGGAAAGGCUCAAAAUAGUCCUUUGAUUUGAUAGCUUUUAGGCAAAAGUAUGAUAAUUGUAAUACAAUAAAUAACACAUGGUAAGAAUUAUAAGGGAACGACUAAUCUUAUAACACAGAGGAAAGGCUCAAAAUAGUUCUUCUUCUUUGGGUUAAGACUCAAAGCGAUCCUUGAUUUUUCACAUAGAGCACUAAUAGUCCCUCAUGUUUGCAAUAUUGAUGCACUUUUGGUCCUCCCCUAAAAUUUUGUCUAUUUAUUAACGUUAAUUUUGCCCAGAAUUUCAUAUAAGAAAUGUCCGAACGUCUUUUUAUAUAUUUAGUAGAAAUAAUAAUUCUAUCUGAGAGAAGGUCAUAAGAAAAACACAUUGUUUUGUUCAUUAGAAAUAUUACUGCAACUAAACUAAGAACAUUUUAACAUAUGACUUUGCAGAAAAAGAAAAAGUUGUACUAUUGCACGUGAAAUUAUCGUGAUGAACCGCUCAACUUUACCUGCAAUAUGAUUUCUACUAAACAAAACAAAGUAUUUUUCUUCUCGCAUACUUUCAUAUGGAGUUGUUAUUUCUACUAAAUAUAUAAAAUGACAAUUGCACAUCCUAUACAUAGGUUAUGGAUAAAAUCAAUGCUAAAAAAUAGAUAAAAUUUUGGAUGAGAAUCAAAAGUGCACCAAUAUUGCAAACAUGAGGGACUAUUACUGCUCUAUGUGAAAAUUCAAGGAUCACUUCGAGCCUUAACCCUAAGAAGAAGAACUAUUUUGAUCAUUUCCUCUAUAACAAUACACUAAACCUUUGCAAGGCAAGACAUCACUCUAUCGCUACUAGCCUUCUACCCUAAUACACAAUCUCCAGUCUUUCCUAUUUAAAGUACUCAUAUCCUAGGUAAGAUCGAGCUCCAUCAUGUCCUAUCUAAUUACUUUUCCUCAAUACUUUUUCGGUCUACCCCUACCUCUACAUGUACCCACUACAUCUAACCUAUCGCACCUCUUCACUAGCGCAUCUCCUCUACACAUGCCUAAGCCAUCUCAAUAUCGCUUACCUCGUCUUUUCUGCUAUAGAGGUCACUCUCACCUUCUCCUAAAUAACCUCAUUCCUAAUCUUGUAACUCCUUGUAUGCCCACACAUCUACCUCAACAUCCUGAUCUUUGCAACAUGUAUUUUUUGAACAUAUAAAUUCUUGACUAAUCAACACUCCACCCCAUACAACAAGGAUAGAAUAACCACACUCUCCAGAACUUACUUUUUAGUUUAGGUGGUACCUACUAGCUACAUGUCGGUUGUGUUGUGACGAAAAAGAUGAAUUUAACGUGGAAAAACCCUUCAAACCGAAGGUAAACACCACGGGAUCGACAAGAUCCAAAUUGCUUCACUAUACCAAUAAGAGGGUUAAAAAUAUUCUUCUAAUGGCUACACAACAAGUGCCAAAAGAGAACAAACAAUAGCUACACCAACAAAAGAUAAAUAGAAAGAAACACCACCCAAACCCAGCUCUUGUUCGGGACCUAAAUUAGGAUCUUGUUAACCUCUGAAUCGGAUCUCCACCGUUCAAAUCAACCACCAAGAUGUCAGGAACACUCAGUACAAAUUUCAGCCCGACCCAACAGUUAGUUAAUCGGGAAACAUGAUCUGAACGUUGCUGGUCGGAGAAAAAGAAUGCAGCAAAAGAACCUUUUCUUUCUCUCUUUUUCUCUAGUUGAAAGCUCUCUCAAAAACCUCUCUUAUGUUCUAAUGUCUUUCAAAGACAGUACCAAUGAGCAAUUAAUUAUUCUCUCAAAACCAUCUUCUAUUUAUAGAGUUGUGCUUUUUCUUACAAAGCCAAAACCAACUACAAAUAGGAUUACUAUUCAAAUCCUUUUCCUAAUAGAAUUGGAAACCAAAUAAAGAGAAUAAUUCCAAUCCUUUUCCAAGUAGGAUUAGGCCAUGGGCCUUUGGCUGGAACAUGGGCAAUAGCCCAACAAACUCCCCCUCCAGCCAAGGGGCCAAAUGGACUUCAAGUGGAGGAACUUUUGACAGGCUUCCUGCCUGCCACACUUCUACAAAAAUCAUGAUUGUCUACGAUGAGUUCUUUCCACUUAUCUCUAUGAGUAUCUAACAUGACUUCACCAUAACCUUCAGGUUCUCCAAUAUUAGUCAAUAGAAUAUACUCAUCAUGAGAAUAACGUGUUGAGCUUCGCUUCUCUCUAGUAUAUCUUCUACAAGAGGUUUCUGGAGCAUCCGAAGCGGUCAUCCCAACAUGAGUUGGUUGAUUAUGAACCACAACAUCAUCAGUAGGAACAAUUAUAUGUUCUACACUCUCAUCAUUAUCUUGAUCAUUACCUUGGAUUCCCUCAUGUGCAGAAGAUGUAUCAAUAAUAGGAAUUGGAUCAACAUCAACUAAGCUCUCAUCAGUAUGAGAAUCUAGUUUCUCAGUAUUGUCAAUAUCUUCAAUAGUUUGAUCUUCAAAGAACACAACAUCACGACUUCUAAUGAGUUUCUUAUCAAUUGGAUCAUAAAAGCAAUAUCCAAACUCAUCUUGACCAUAACCAAUGAAGAUACGUUGCUUAGUUUUAACAUUCAAUUUCGACCUCUCAUCUUUUGGAACAUGCACAUAAGUUUUACACCCAAACACUUUCAAGUGAUCAUAAGAAACAUCCUUAUCAAACCAAACUCUGUUUGGAACAUCACCAUCCAAAGCAACAACAGGAGACAAAUUGUUAACAUAAGCAACAGUGUUAAGUGUUUCAGCCCAAAAAGAAUUUGGAAGUUUAGCAUCUGAAAGCACACAUCUAACUCUCUUUACUAAAGUUCUGUUCAUCCUCUCUGCCAAACCAUUUAAUUGAGGAGUCUUUGGAGGAGUCUUCUGAUGACGAAUUCCUUGCGAUUUGCAGUAGUAAUCAAAGGGACCAAUAUACUCACCACCAUUAUCAGUGCGAAUACAUUUUAAUUUCUUUCCCAUUUGUCUCUCAGAUAAGGCUUGAAACUGUUUAAACACAUCAAGCACUUGAUCUUUGGAUUUCAAAGAAUAUACCCAAAUCUUCCGAGAAUGAUCAUCAAUGAGAGUAGCAAAGUAAAGUGCACCACCUUUUGACUUCACUUUGAAAGGACCACAUAAAUCUGAGUGUACUAGCUCCAAUAGCUCAGACUUUCUUGAAGGUGUAUGACUGUGAAAAGAAACUCUUUUCUGUUUCCCUGCUAACAAUGAACACAUAUUUUCACCUUUGCUUGUUUCAUACCAGCAAGCAAAUUCUUCUUAGCCAAAUAGGUGAUCCCUCUCUCGCUCAUAUGACUAAGCCGUUUGUGCCACAAUUAUUGAUAAAGUCUCGCUCUUCACCAAAUUUUUAGAGUCACCAAGAAUCGAUCCUUGUGUCAGGUAUAAAUUUGAAUGUUUUUUUCCUCGAGCUAAAAUCAGUGAGCCUUUGGUAAGCUUCCAUUGGCCAUUGCACAAGUCAUUAUGAUAGCCAUCAUCAUCUAGUUGUCCUACAGAGAUCAAAUUUAAGGGAAUGUCUGGAGCAUGCUUGACAUUCUGAAGGACCAACUUUGAACCGGUAUUGGUUUUCAAAUAAACAGUGCCAACACCAAACACCUUAACCUCACCAGCAUUACCCAUCUUUAACACCUCAGAGUUAACAGAAGUAUAAGAUGAAAAGAAGUCUUUUCUUGGUGUGACAUGUGAUGUAGCUCCAGAAUCUACUAUCCAACUUGUAUCUUGAGAUACAAAAUUGAUGACGUCUUUAUCACAAGCGAAGAGAAUGUCAUCUUGGACAAUAACAACAAUAUUAUUGUCAUUGUUUUCUUCCUUCUAACCUUCUUUAAGAUCUUGCUUCAAUUGUUUACAAAAUCUUUUAAUAUGUCCUUUCUUUCCACAAUGAUAACAUAUAAUAUUUAGAUUCUUGAAUUUUGACUUGGUUCUACUUUUACCUUUACUCCUCAGAUCUCUUGUCUUAUGUCUCCCUCGAUCUUCUGUGUAUAGAACAUCUGAAUGUGAAGAUGUGUCUUGAGAUUUUCUUCUAAACUCUUCAUUCAACACACCACUCUUUGCAUAUUCCAUAGUCACCUUUCCACCAGUGGCAGAAUUUGUUAAAGAAACACGAAGAGUUUCCCAAGAAUCCGGUAGAGUAUUAAGAAGCCAAAGUCCUUGUAUUUCAUCAUCAAAAUUCACACCCAUUCCUGAUAGCUGAUCAAGAAUACCCUGAAAAUCAUUUAUAUGAUCAAGAAUAGGACUGCCCUCCUCGUAUUUAAAGGUCAUCAAUUGUUUUAACAAGAACAACUUGUUAUUGCCAGUUUUUUAAGCGUAAAGCGUCUCCAACUUUUUUCACAAUGUUCUAGCAUGUGUCUCAUUCACAAUAUGGUUGCGAACAUUAUAUUCAACCCAUUGUCUUAUAUAUCCACAUACUUGUUGGUGCUCAAAUUCUCAAUUUUCAUCGGUCACAUUCUCGGGUUUAUGAGCAGAAAAAACCGGAAGAUGCAUCUUCUUCACGAACAAUAGAUCUUUCAUCUUGCUUUUCCAUAUGUUGUACUUUCUUCCGUUUAGACAUACCAUCUUGCUCAUAUUCCCCUCCAUAUAGAUAACCUUAGCUCUGAUACCAGUUGUUGUGACGAAAAAGAUGAAAUUGAAAAUCUAACAAUAUAAGAACACCAAGUUUAACGUGGAAAAACCCUUCAAACCGAAGGUAAACACCACGGGAUUGACAAGAUCCAAAUUUCUUCACUAUACCAAUAACCAAUAAGAGGGUUACAAAUAUUCUUCUAAUGACUACACAACAAGUGCCAAAAGAGAACAAACAAUAGCUACACCAACAAAAGAUAAAUAGAAAGAAACACCACGGAGCUCAGGUCGCUACAAAAAUGAUUUUGUGUCGACUUUGUAGGCUUUAGUCACCACUAAAAGUCCAAUUUCUUGUAGUUGCAUCAUUAAUGAAUGAGUUUCUAUUGUCAAAGGCAUUAUUUGAUAUCUCACACAGUAGGCAAUCCCUCUUCUAUGGCUAUUGCUUCAUCACAAAGAUUAUUAGUAGUAAUAGGAUAUAUAGUAUUUAGCAUUGGCAUGGACAAGGUCCCCUCUCUAAUUCUAAUACAAACAUGUCUAUAAUUUAUCUCAACAGCAAAUUUACAAAAGAGAUAUAGUGUUAAGUUGUGUGUGUGUAUUGUGGGGGGGGGGGGGUGUAGACAUCAUUUUCUUUAUAAAAAUAAGUAGUCUUGGGUAGGAUGCUAAAUAUAAAAGUAUUGGGUAUUAGCUGCAUAUAACCAAAGAGUCUCUUUCUGUAAUAAUUGUGUGUAAUUACAUGCACACACCUAAUUUUAUAUGUAUAGGCAAAGAGAAUAUGAAGUCUAAUGAGUUUGUCAAAGCAUUAGAUGAUAUCUCACACAAUAGGCAUUCCCUCUUAUAUGGCUAUUGCUUCACCACAAGGUCCCCUCUCCAAUCCUAAUAAAAAAAAAAUGUCUAUAAUUAAUCUCAACAUAAAAUUUUGUCAAAGAGAUAGAAUGUUUGGUUGGCCAUAUGAGAAACAAUAAUUCAUACAUUACUAAUACAGGAGUUUCUGGUGUUAUGUUAAAUUAAAAUGUACUCGUAUGACAAUUUGAUUAUUAAACACCGGCAUAAUUAUUCUUAUAUUAGUUAUUCUAUGAUAUUUUUUAAUAUUAUUUACAACAUAUAUAAGCUAGUAUAAUCACUGCAUAAUUAUAUUUAUGAGAUAAUCGGCCCCUUAUAAUAGAUCAAUAAGUUCUUAACAGACCAAAAUAUGAACAUAAUUCUGAUCUUUACUUAAGGAUCCAAUAGAAAAUAUGCAAACGGUUUUAUACUCAUUUAAUUGCAUAAAUUUAUCUUUAAAAGGAUAGAUCUUUAAUUUUCAUCUUUUAUGAGUUGAUUAUUAAUUUUUUGUCCUUAUAACUACAGCGGCUUAUGCACUCCACUUGUUACUACAAAACGAUGAAGCCAGAAGCGGAAGGAGGGACUUGAACCCUCAACCUCUUAAAAAAUGAACUUACGCCUAGCGUGACUUAAGUUCUUUAAGAACGCGAGACAUAACUAAUAAUGAAGGUUUGAUAUGAAAUGAUUUAGAUAUUAGAUUAUUAGUGCAUUUGUAUUCAUUACGAUUUAAGUACUUCUGAAUAGGUUUUAGUUAUAAAGAUUUUAUAUGAAUAAUAUUCAUCAUCAUGCUAUCCAUUUAUUACUAAUUACCACCACUAGGCAUCUUUGCCACCACAACCACCACCAUCAUUGUCAAUCACAUCAUCGUUGUCAAUCACUAACCACCCCCACCACCCACCUCUAUCAUCAAAAUGUUGAUAGAGCCUAGAAAUAUUGGCAUUGUCUAACUAUAAAAGGGAUUAGUAUCUCAUGUAAUGAUGAAACACACACUUCUUAUUAUAACUUUGUGAUAUAUCAUAUCAUAUAAGAAAAAUGAGCCUCCAAGGGAAGUUGGUUUCUGAGAUAAACAUCAAGUGUGAUGGAGAUGUUUUUUAUGAAGUAUAUAGGCAGAGGCCACACCAUAUCUCCACCAUGUCCCCUAAUAAAGUACAAAAUGUGGAUGUUCAUGAAGGUAAAUGGGACACAGUUGGCUCUGUUAUCUUUUGGAACUUCAUCCAUGAUAAAUCUUUAUUAUAUUUCAUUUCAAUAUUUUAUCACAAAAUGUUUGGUUCAUACAUUUUGUACUUUAGGAAAAUGUUACCUAGCACACAAUCACAAAUAAAUCCUAUAAGGAAAAUGUUAUUUCCAUUCCAAGAAGGAAAAAAAAUAUAUUCCUUUUUCCAAAUCUAUUAGGACAACAAAUCUAUUAAAUUAUUAGAGAUUAUGAGUUUUGUAAAAUAUAUAAGAGAAAAAUUGUACUCGCUCUGUCCAACAAUAGUUGUCAGCUCACUUUUUAUCUGUUCAGAUUCAAACCAACUCGCUCGAUCAUUUAAAAAUGAAAUUAAUAGUAUGAAAUAUUUACUAUAUAUAUAAUUUUUUCUAAAGAUGGUAAAGAAGUGGUGGGAAAGGAGAGAGUCGAAGAAAUAGAUGAAGAAAAGAAGAUGAUGAAAAAAAGGAUAAUUGAAGGAGAUAUAUUGGAGUAUUACAAAUCAUUUUAUGUCACUAUUCAUGUUGAGACAAAGGGUGAAAACAACUUAGUUACUUGGAUUUUGGAAUAUGAAAAGAAGAAUGUUAAUGUGCCUGAUCCACACACACUCGUGGAAUUACUCCUUAAUGUAACCAAAGAUAUUGAGAAUCACCACAUCAAGUGAUACAUAAAUAUUGUAAAUAAAUUGUUUGGACUCUUUAAAAAUGUCGACGAGUAUAUGUCGAAUUCUUUAAAAUAGUAUAUUUUGAAGAAAUCGAUAUAAAUACGACAACAUUUUUAAAAAGUGGAAGGCAAUGUAUGUAUACCAAAUGAUUGGAUUUAAGGUGUUGUCUCAAAGUCUGUUAUGAGCGGGUGUGCUUUGAAAUGUCUUGUAACAAAAAUAAAACGAGUGGACAUUUAAUUUUUAUAGAUAAAUAAAAAAUAAAAAUUGUUAUUUGAAUUGCAUUAUAGUUUUUUUUUUUUUGUUUGUUUUCUCUAUGCUGAAAACUAAUAGUAUGUGCUUUUCUUUCAACUUUUUCCAUUUUAUAAACAGGGAAUUUUAUUUUUUUGUAUAAGUCAUCACUAUUAGUUAGAUAUAUAUGAUCAUAAUAACAAGUUAAUAACAAUAUUCAAAGAGAAAGGAAUAAAAUGGUUUAAAAGUAAAUUUUCAACUUAGAGAAAAAGUAAAGAAACUUUGUCUUGAUGGCUAGGGCCGUAGCUAGGUGAGGCUGAAGGGUUUAUUUGAAAUCUCUAUCAAUACGAUGUUUAUAUAUAGUUAAAAUUAUAUUUAAUUUAUAUACAUAAGAUUCGGUUUAUUCGCCAUAAUUUUAAAUCAGUAUUAUUACUCAAGCUAAUGUGUUAUUUUGUAAUUUUAAUCCAUUUAUUACUAAUUCUAAUAUUCUCCCACGUUCUAACAAACAGAUUGAAACGAAUAAAAGUAUUAUUUGUAAGAAAAAAAGAAUUGAAACAAUCAAUAUUGUGUAACUUUAUAUUGAUUUCUCAUGAAGAUUAAAUUCUUUCAAAUUCAAACCAUAACAUUAUAUAGUUUUAAACUGAUCUUAGAUUUCAGGAGUCAUAUAUGAUUUAACUAAUAUAUUGUAGGUUUUUUUUGACACAUACACCCAAUAUUAGACAGCUUUUAGGUGAAAGUAUGAACUACUUAUGUUUAUUAUGCAUCUAAUUAAAAUUUGUGAAAAAUAAAAUUUUAUGAAAAAAAAGGCACUCAUCAACGAUAAUAUACCCAGUGAAAUUUAAUAAAGUGGGGGCAUGGAGAGAAUAGAGUGUUUGCAGGGCUAACUACUAUCUAGUAGAUAUGAAAAAAUUAGUUAUUUCCAAAUGAUCCUCGGCUCAAGUGUAUCACGCUCAAGCAAAAUAAGAAGAAAAUAGUGAAAAAAGCAUAUAAGAUAAAAAAAAUUAUGAAGUCAACUAGAAAGAAAUAAUAAUCACAACAAAAUAAUUAUGUGAUUUAUAGAAAUACAGUAAACAACAUAUGGCCAAAAUUACAAGGGCACGACUAAUCUUAUGACAUAUACUAAACCUUCGCAAGGCAAGAAAUCACUCUAUAUCUACUAGCCUUCUGCCCUAAUACACGAUCUCCACUCUCUCUUAUUUAAAGUCAUUUCCUAGGUAAUAUGGAAUUCCGUCAUGUCCUAUCUAAUUACUUCUCCCCAAUACUUUUUCGAUCUACCCCUACCUCUUCACUUACCAUCUACAUCCAACCUAUUGCACCUCCUCACUUACGCAUCUCCUCAACUCAUGCAUGCUUAAACAAUCUCAAUUCGAUUACCUUAUCUCGUCCGCAAUAGAGGUCACUCUCACCAUCUCCUGAAUGACCUAAUUCCUAAUCUUGUCACUCUUUCUAUCCCCACAUCUACCUCAAUAUCAUGAUCUCUGCAACAUGCAUUUUCUGAACAUGUAAAUUCUUGAUUGGUCAACACUUCACCCCAAACAACAAUGAUAGUCUAACCACCACUUCGUAAAACUUCCUUUUAAGCUCAGGUGGUACCUACUUAUCAUACUGACUCCGAAGGCAAGCCUUUAUUUCAUCCAAGACGGCUCGAACCAAAUAGAGAUAUUAGUACAAAAACUAAAUAAUUAAUGACUAACAACAUAACUAGUCAAAUAGAAAUAUUAAUUUGUAAUAUCUAUAAACUUUGGUUCAAGUAGAUUUUAAGUUAGAAUUCCUUUUGUCAUUAACUUAAUUUUAGUAUUCCACUUUAUUUUUUAUUUGUCCUACGAGUUGAUCCAAUCUACAUUGCUCAAGCCCCACGGACUAGCCUUUUCCUCUAACGAAAGUGAAAAAAAAAACUUUUAAAUUUACAAAAAUAUCUGAAAAAGCUUUUAUAGAUGAAUUGAACGACAAAUGAACAAUGCAACUAAUAUUUAGUUAUGGAACUAGUUACUUGCCAGUUGCCACAGAGCUCACGUCGCUACUAAAAUGAUUUUGUGGCGACUUUGUAGGCUUCAAUCGCCACUAAAACCCCAAUUUCUUGUAGUUGCAUCAUUAAAGGCAAUCCCUCUUCUGUUGCUAUUCUUUCAGACAAAGAUUAGUAGUAUUAGCAUUGGUGGACACAGUCCCCUCUCUAAUUCUAAUAAAAACAUGUCUAAAAUUAAUCUCAAGAGCAAAUUUACAAAAGAGAUAUAGUGUUUAGUAGUUGUGUGUGGGGGGGGGGGGUGUAGGCAUCAUUUCCUUUAUAAAUAAGUAGUUAAGCGUAGGGGAAAAGGGGUUGAUAUAUCCUUCAACUUUGUCAUAUGAAGCUGAUAUGUCGUCCCUUGUUAUGAAAGUGGUUCAAUAUACUCUUACCGUUAUACAAACGGCUCACAUAUACCCCUACUGUAACAAAAUGAGCUCAUAUAUAUCCUUCAUUUAACGUAAUUUAUAUUUUAGAAUUUUGAUUUUAAGAAAAAUCAUGCGGUGAUAUAUAUCAAGUUAUAUUUUAAUCUUUUCAUACAUAAAUUAUUUUUUGAGUUCUUUGAUUAUCAUUAUUUGAGUUACUCAUUCUUAUUCUAUUUUUCUCUUUCAUUGUUUAAUGUAAAGAAAAAAUUUAAAACUAAGUUUUUGUGGUUAAUUAUAAUUUGUUUUUUUGGCUAUAUUAUAAUUUAGUUUUUGUAUUUGAAAAAAAGAACUGGUCGAUUAUAGUAAAUUUUACAAGAAAAUUAGUGAAACACAUAUAAAUUUGACCAUAAAAAUAAAAAAUUUAAAUUAGUCAUUGAAAUUAAAAAGUCACUUCUGUUAGAGGAAAUGUUUAUAUGAAAUCGAUUCAUUUGUCUAACAGUUGAGAUAAAUAUCAUCCACUUUCAUAACGAGGGGUAUAUCGACUCUAAAUGACAAAGUUGAAAAGUGUAUUAGACCCUUUUCUCAAUUAAAAAUAACCAACUUAUGGUUGAUUUCGGAUUAUAAGAACUUGAGUUAUAAGCACUUUUUGUAUUUUUUCAAUUAUAUGAUAAGCUUAAAAAUAUGCUUAUGAACUAAUUUGAACCACUUAGAAACUUAACCUAAUAGCUUAUUGGGUACUACAUAUAAUCUUUUUUCUCUAUUAAUGGUGCAUAGUUACAUGCACACACCUAAUUAUAUAUGUAUAGGCUUAAAGCCAAAAAAAUAUUUAAAAAUAUAUGUAUAGGCAUAAAAAAAAAUACGAAAUUUAUAGUCCAAAGUUUAGACAUAUCGAAUUGCCCAACUAUAAAAGGGCAGAGCUACUCAUGUAAUGAUAAACCACAUACUUAUUAUUAUAAUAAACUUUGUGAUAUAUAUCAUAGAAGAAAAAUGAGUCUUCAAGGGAAGUUGAUUUCUGAGAUAAAUAUCAAAUGUAAUGGAGAUGUGUUUCAUGAAAUAAUUAAGUACAAACCACGUGAUAUCUUUAGUAUAUGCUCUGAUAAGAUACAAAAUAUGGAUAUUCAUGAAGGUGAAUUAGGCAAUAUUGGCUCUGUUAAAUCCUGGAAAUUCACCUAUGGUAAAUUUAGUUUCAAUAUUUAUUUUUGUAGGGUUUAUAGAAAUCACACGUCAGUCAGUUGUAUUGGACAUAUUUCUUUGACUUGUUGUUCCCAUCGUCAACUUCAUUUUUCUUCAACAGAGUCAUUAAUUUUUCUUGUUCAAAUUGUAAGUAAGCUAAAGGAGAUCAUUUUUUUUCGAAAAAAGUUUAGACAUUAUCCGGCCAUUAUUUUUAUUAAUUCAAACCAUUUUUAACCCAUUCAGAUUCAAUCGAAAUUAGUAGUAUGUAAUAUUUAGUACAUGAUUUGUUUGCAGGUGGGAAAGAGAUUUUUGUAAAGGAAGUAAUUGAAGAAAUAGAUGAUGAAAAGAAGUUGAUUAAAAAGAAGGUAAUUGAAGGUGAUUUAUUGGAGUAUUAUAAAUCAUUUUAUGGCACUAUUCAAGUUGAGACAAAGGGUGAAAACAACUUAGUUACUUGGAUCAUGGAAUAUGAAAAGAAGAAUGUGAAUGUACCAGAUCCACACUAUUUAAUGGAAUUUUGCCUUGGUGCCACUAAAGAUAUUGGACUCACAAUCUCAAGUGAUACAUAAUAAUAAUAAUUAUUAUUAUUAUGAAUGUACUUGGAAUAAAAGGAUGAGUCGAUGGACAUUGCUAAGCAAAAAUAAAAGUUUCGAAACUAAUUUUAUUUAAUUCCAUAUAUGUAUGCAAGUCUGUAAAAUCGAUAAUAAUGUAUCGAAUAAAAUCUCCGAAAUGUAACAAUGGAUUGCUUGUUAGUCCAUUUCUAUGAUGCAUACAUUCAACAGUCAAUAAGAGAUUUCAAUGCAAAUGAAUGCACUACAAAAGUCUAGAUGACUCAUGAUCGCUAAAUCUCUAGUAACUAAUAAUAUUUUUAUUUUGAGAAAAUGGCCAAAAGCCCCUCAAGCUAUUAUAGAAUUUUUAGCUACACGUCUAUUUUUUUGGGGGUCUUAUCACCCUCUGAAUCUUUUAAAAGUGAAGUAUCUAGCCCUCUACAAACUCACGCAUAGAUUUGUAUUAGGCAGUAGUCAAUACGCAUUGCCACGCAAUACAUCCAUUUUUUAUAUAAGAAAAAAAUAACUAUUCUCUUACCGUUUACUUUUUUUAUUUUAUAUUUUCGUCUUCUUCUUUCUCUUUCUUUUCCAUUCUUCUAUUUCUUUUUCUUUGAAAGCUUCUGCAGAUUUGAUGACUACUGCAUCUUCGACCUUCAUCGGAAUUUUAAACACCAAGAAUUAUCGUUCUUUAAAGCUAGAGACAAAAGAAAAAUUCUAUCCCUGAAAAAUUGCUUCUUCUUUCGCUAUUAUAUCAUUUUCUCAAAGAAUGAUAUGAGAAACUCAAUUGAUGUUUGGAACAAUUUCAAUAAGUGGGUCUUCUUCGUCAAAGGUUCUGUUACCAAAUGAUUCCUUUAAUAGAUUCUUCUCCAUUAAUUGAAUCUAUUACUUUAUGAAAUCCUUCAUUAAUGACUAGUCUAAAUUUUGAUUCUUUUAACUUUCAAUUUUGAUAUUGAUUCUGAGCAACCAACAAAUUACAAAGUUUUGAAAACUGGAGAUAUGAUUAAAAGUAUGUGAUUUGAAGAUGAGACUUAAUGAUGAAAAAUUGAGGAGGGUGGUGACCUGGUGGUCGAGGUGAGCCACCAUUAUCUAUGGAUUUGAUGAAGAUUAAGGGAGAAUUCGCAUGUAUCUCUCUAGACUGUGAUCGAAAUUUCAGAGACACCUUAAUUAAACUAAGGUCCUAUUACCCCUAAACUUUUUUUAAAAAAAUUUUAUACAUUUUUUGUCUUGUGGCAUACUAUGUGACUCCACGCAAUUGAAGCGCGUGAGAGAUAUUUCAAUUGAAGCGCGUGGGAGAUAUUUGAAUGUCACGUAAGCCAAAAGGUGCACAAAAUUACAAAAAAUAAGUUUAGGGGAGGCAAUAAGACCUUAGUUUGGUUAAGGUGUGUCUCUGGGAUUUUGGUCAUAGCCUAAGGGGGUACUUGUGUAUUUUUUCGAAGAUUAAAGGGAAAAGACAAAGAUGAUAAAAAAAAAAUAACACGAGACUAACUUUUUUAAAAACAAAAAUAGAAUAUUAAUAUGAUUUAAAUUAAAUAUUUAUAAAGUUAAUAUUUUAAUUAUCUUUUUACCUUUCACUCUCCUCGAGAGAGUGAACUACACCUCCUUUGCCACACCAACAUUUAAAGAACAAAUAAUUCCGCUUUAAAAUAGUCCAAGAGGAUAAUAAAACACCCGUAAAGUGUGUAUAAUGUAAUUGAAAAUCCAGCUUAUAAAUUGAGAAAGCUUUUGAUCACUCUUUUAUUUUGAUACUCAUAGCUAGAUAGAAUUAGCCAUGAGUUGUGCUAUUUGGCUACAGAAUAUAUUUUUCUGUCAACAAUUUCCUAUUUUUAGUAGUGAUAACGAUUUACAAAUUGACUAAGGUGAAAAGCCACCUCAAGGAUUUGAAAUUUUCAGAGUACAAAAAUGAUGUGUAUUAUGCCACUAGAAACAUAAGAACAUUAUAUUAGUGAACCUAAUUAUUGUUGUAUAUUAUCUUGGGGUCGCUAAAGAAAUUCGUAAACUUCAUAUUUUGAAUAUACUUGUGGCUAGUAUCUCUCAACAAAUGACGAGAGAUUAAUAUGGUGAAAACAGAAUAUUAUUAAACUCGUAAAUAAAGAUAAUUUAAUUAAAAUACUCUUUCAGUUAACAUUUUCUUAAGGAACGUGUAAUGAGAGCGUGACAAACAUAAUAGAACGGAGGGGUACAAUAACAUACACAGUAUAGUCUCAUAAGUAAGGUCUAAAAAAUGGAAGUAUUUUUUGUUACCUAAAACUUUCAUUAUUUAAUAAAAGUAAAAUUAAAUAAAAAAAAAACAUUUAAUAUCUUAUUGAUUACGUCAAACUCUUCUUAUUUUGAAAAAAGGAAUUAGUUCUUAAAUCGCAUUUCACAAAUCUAUUCUCAUAUGCUAAAACUACAUUUUAAAUGAUGACUAAUGAAAAAUGAAAGGUAUUUUGUUUGUUUUUUUUCCUUUCUUUUAUCACUAAUCAAUGCUAUUCUUAUUUAUUUUGAAAUGAAUUGUAUAUCUUCAUUUCUAAUAAGAUCAAAAUCAAAUAAUUCCCUUUUUUUUUCAAUUUUUUGUGAGUAGUAAUCGUCAUUUAUGAAGAAUCAUGAUAAAAAUAGAAUGAAUUAGUUCUGCAAGCCACUUAACAAAAACAACAAAACAAAUUAGCGUGAUAUAUAAACGUUUUGUUUUGAUUUGACCAUUAUAUUCAAUAUUUGUUUAACUUUAAACAAUUUUAAAUGUCUACUUGUGCGCAACCAAAGUUGAAAGGCAUAAAUGUUAACUAAGGCAAAGUUAAAGCGAAUAUUUAUGUAUUAUCCCUAUUAAAUUCUUACCAGGUACAAUUAUUAUGAAUUCUUAUUGUGACUAGUAAUGUGGAUUGUGAACUAGCCAUUUUUUGUGCCAAAAGACUAAAACACAUGCACCUCGACUGAUUUUACGGAAUAUCUAUUAUUUAUCACCAGCAACACAUACUAAAUAACUAUGUUCCUCAAGGAUAAAAUUAGUAAGUAAUUAUGAGAUAUCAUUUCUAUGAUCUAAUUUAUUCAAUGUACCCCUUAAUAUAGCCAGCAAAAAAUGUAUCCAACAUAUUCCCUUUUCAGCCAUUUAACCUUUUGAUAUCUUGGCUAGCAUAUAACCAUCAAAAUACAAAUUUCUUUUGUUUAUAAAGUCAAUCACUACAUCAAAAAUGAUCUUUAAAGACAAUUAAUUUAGAAGUUCGGGCUUUGAUAGAAUUGGUAGCUCGAUUUUUGGAAUUUCAAGGAAUUCAGGCUUUGGUAAAGUUGAGAUCUUCGAGAGUUGUGGCAAUUCAGGCUUAGGAAGCUCGGAAAUUGUUACUUCAAGAAGAUCGCGUGCUUCUGCUUAUAUUUCAUAGCAAUAUGUUAUAUGUGAAUGUUGAAAAUAGGAAUUGAGAAUUAAGUUUUGGUUGUGAUAAUUGGUAGGAAAAAUUGUUUGUUAGGUCAUCUUCUCAACAAUAAUAAUUUCCUAAUUUUAAUUUAAUACAAACUUUCCAUGUACAUAUUUUAUGUAAUAAAUAUUGGCAAUCUAAACAGAUAUUGUACCAAUUCAAAGUAGUAGGUCACCAUUUCCAAUAAUGCAUAUAUAUACUUCUUGUACACCUACUCUUGUUUGUUUCAUUUUUCUUGAUCUGUAUAUUAAAAAUAAAUCUUAUUUUAGCAAACUAAUAAAGCUUUUAUCAUUUUUUGAUAUAUUAGCUUUAAUAUUGAAUAACUAUAUAAAGUAAUAGCAGUCAAAUUUAGAGUUUCAAAGCAUCAUUCGUAAUGUUUGUUUAGUAAAAAUACAUUUCUAAUUAAAGUUUUCUUAAAAAUAAGCAGAUCAACAUGAGUCAAGUAAUAUAAAACAAUGUGAAUAGUUAGUUAUUGGUUCAAAAUAGUUGUUAUUUCGAUUUUUAAGAUAUAAAUAAUUAUUUAUUAUUCAAUAAAUGUGGAGAGAUUAGUAUCAUAAAAAGCAGAAUAAUAUUAUUAAAUUAAAGAUCAAAUAAUAAAUAAUGAUAAUUUAAUCAAAUUACUUCUUUAGUCAAUAUUUUCUUGAGAAAUGGGUAAAGAAAAACGUGACAAAUAAAAUGAAUCACAGGGGUAUAAUAACAUAUACAAGUAAGGUCUAAUAAAUGCUCUAUUUAUUUAUUUGGAAAUGAAAUGUAAAUCUUCAUUUCUAUUUUUAUCAAAAUAGUUCAAUUUUUUCCAUUUUGUUGUUAUUUGUACUUAACAUUCAUGAAGAAUUGUGAUAAAUUACACCAUAUUAAAUUGGCAUAAUAUAUAAAUGUGUCUUUUAAUUUGACGUUAUUUAUAUUUAUGAAGAAGUAGGCACUUACUUAGACUUGUAUAAAGUUGAACAAGUAAACACACACGUCCUACAUGGCAAUUCAGAAUCCUAUGUGCAUUCUAUUUGUAUUAUGUCACGUAUGACAUGUGUGUCUACUUGUUCAACUUUAUAAAAAUUUAAACGUCUACUUGUAUCUCACAAUUAAAGUUGAAAGGCAUAGAUGUCUAGUUCAUACUAAGCACAUAUUUAUAUAUUAUGCCUAUUAAAUUUUUACUAGGUACAACUUCUGAAUUUCUAUUGUGACUAGGAUGUGGAUUGUGAACUAGCCAUUUUUUGUGCCAAAAGACUUAAACACAUGACAAGUAAUGGGACAUAAUGCCUUGUCUCCUAAAAAAAAGCCAUGUGAAUAGGAGUGCUCAAGGGACAUGUCCACCCCUUUACGUCAGGCCAAUUUCGGCGCACCUCGACUAAUUUUACAUAAUAUCUAUUAUCUCCUACCAGCAAUACAUACUAAGUAACUAUGUAUAUCAAGGCUAGAACAGAUAGAAAGAUCACCUAGUGUUUUUCAAACCUGAUACAUCAUGAUUCUUAACUCAUUUCGUUGACCAUUACGCCACAACCUUGACCGCUAUAGAUACGAAUAUACUUUCUUACUUUACUACAAGCCCAAAUAAGAAAAGAAGCAUAAGCUCUUCAAAAGAGGUAGUAACAAUCAAUCAAUAUCUAUUUUAACUUGAAUAUAACAAGUAGGGCUUGACAGUGACUCCAAGCUUUAUUCGAACGACUGAUUUCAACAGACUACAAAGCUAAAGAACUGAUAAAACGUUUAAUUUCUCAUUACGAAAACACCAAGAAGAUCAAACAUAGAGACAUGAAAAAAGAAUAGAAAAAAAACAACAAGAAUUAUAGAUUACUUCAUGUCGACUCUGUGAAUUCAGUAUGAAACUAUCUUGCGACUGAGUGAUUUAUUGAACCAUGCCUUCCAACUUCCAGAUCCCUUCCGAGCCAUAACUACUUGUUUCCCAUCAAGAAUUCGCUGUUGUUUCCCAUUAAGAAUUGGAUUCUCGGACUGCGGCUUUUUGACCAGCACAAAGUUACGAACACCAAGUGAUCCAAUUGUCUCCCAUGGACUCAAAUCUGAAAUAACAACUCAAAUGUAAGCAAAAACACACAUCACCACAAAAUGAUAAGGUUUACGCCUACCAAAUCUUUUUAAGAUAUAGUAGGAACAAACAGCAUAAAGUCACAACCAACAUAACUCUACAAUGUCACACAUGAAAAUCAUCGUAGCCAACAAGCGCAAUACAAAGAUAAAAUACUUUGCAGCAAGUUUAGGGAUAGCAGUGAGGCUGGACGAGGGGGGGCAAGUUGAAGACGUAGUCGACAGGUGUGGGACAUUUCUUUUCAACAUUCUCAAGUCCUUAUAUACAUGAUUAACUGAUCAAUCAUACAAGUAAACAGAAUAAGACAUCGAUCAAUAUACAAAAGCAGAAUUGGAAACGCUGAAAACUACGCAAAAACAUAUUUAACAUGGCAAUAAACAAGUAAACUGAAUAAGACAUCGAUCAAUAUACGGAAGCAGAAUUGGAAACGAUGAAAACUACGCAAAAACAUAUUUAACAUGGCAAUAAACAAGUAAACAGAAUAAGACAUUGAUCAAUAUACGAAAGCAGAAUUGGAAACGAUGAAAGGUAAACAAAAACAUAUUCAACAUGGCAAUGUACAAGUAAACUGAAUAAGAUAUCGAUCAAUAUACGAAAGCAGAAUUGUACACGAUGAAAGGUAAGCAAAAACAUAUUUAACAUGGCAAUAAGAAGCAAAUUUAAGCUAAAAACCACGCCACGACAAAGCUUAUAAAGCUUCAUUUCCCCUGCUCUGCCAUGCCCCGACCUGUUAACUCGAGUAAUAUCACAACAAAUCAAUCUCAGCUAAGCAAAUCAAAACACAUUUCUCAAAAAACACAACUAAGCAACGAAAUAUAUAGAAUUACAAUACUAUCAAUACCUUCUGUUACCGCGGUUGGGCAAUAGAGCACAAAAUUAUUAAAAUUUGAUCCAAGAACAGGGAGUCUCUCCUCACGAGCAUAAUUUUUCAACGCGAUAUCGAUAACAUCAGCCACAAGCUCCUUUUCAUUAACAACAAAACGAAUCGGCCCAGCACUCCCAACAACAGUUAUACUAAUCAACAACCGAUUCCCUUUCCCAGCCUGAAUCUUCUUCGUCUUAUAAAGCACCAUCUUGUUAAUUACACUCAAAUUCGUUACAAAUAAACAAAAAUAAUAACAGUUUCAAUCUAUAAGGCCUACGAAGCCACGAAAACAGAGUUUCUCUGGUACGUAGGCCAAAUUAUGUUUACGUAAUGAAUGGUUCAAGGAUCAACACCAAUAGAACGAUAAUACCAACCUUCUUUACAAGAUGCAAAGCAAAAUGAAGAAGAAAUUGAAAUCUCCCUUAUUGGAGAUGAUAAAGAAGUAAUCAUCAACAAAUUCUUGAAAAUUUCCACCAUCAAAAACGAAAAUUUGUAACAAAAGAGAUCAAAUCUCAAGAAGAUGAAGGAAAUUUAUAGGUUUUUUUUUUUAGGGUUAGGGAUUUAACAAAUUUUGGGGAUUUUGUAUUUUUGGAAGAGAGAGGUGAUUAACUCGGAUCCUUUACCGUAAGACCCGGGUUCGUUUGUUUUUUAAUUUAACCACUUGUCCUUAUUUUUCUCUUUUUCAAGUCAUUAAAAUAGUAUGGUACAAUCCGCGCACGGAGCGCGGACGUUACUAUAUCAAUUUAUUUACGAUAGAAGUGAAUUUCGAUAUAAGACUAUCAAACGAAAAAAAAAAAGGAUAGAAGUUAAAAUUUAAUGAAAAAUAUCACAUCGCUAAAUAAAUA
rnacentral:lncRNA from 1 species